UCCUUUUUUUUUUUUUUUUUUUUUUUUUGGUUCCUUUGGGGUUGUAUUGAUAUAUGUAUACGAAGAAUGUUCAUCUGCAUUUCCUUCUUGUUUCAUUGUGGAUUUCAAAUUCAGUAUUGUUGAAUACCUAUUUAACUUCAUCGAGACUUUUGGUUAGAUGUUAACCUUUUUGUGUUAGGUGAAGUAGUUAAGGAUGUGGUACUUCAAUUCAUCUGUCAAAUCAUUCUGCAGUGGCUGCUUCAUUAGGUACUGCCUGGAGGUUGGUCCAAAUGGCAAAUAUGCAAUUAAAUUCUGGAGGUUAGCUGCUUUUGAAAUUUGACAGAAUGCCCUGUUAUAAUAGUGAGCAGAUAUGGUUAAUUAGCACCAAGCCACCAAAUAAUUUUUACCAGUUAUUGCUACACGGAUUGCAGCCAUCUAUUCUAUUAAAGCGCCGUUACCUUCCCCAAAGAGGGUUAUGUGAAAAUUAAAGAACUUUUAUUGGAAAAGAAGAGAGGAAAAUAAAGAACAAAAUUUGCCUUUUUGAUGCUCGUUUGGAUGCAUUUUUUGAGUACUUUUGUAGAAAAACAAUGCUGUAUUACCUUUUUGAAUUAAUCUUCUAUACAUUGGCACAGUGUAUACACUUUUACUAUUGGAUGAAUAACACAUAAUCUGAAAUUGAAUUUGAAACCAAAAUUUUACAUAUGUGUCGUGCAUUCAAUCGUGAUAGUGUAUAUAUUAUCAGUGCAUAUUAGAUUUAUUCUUACUUUUUUAAGCAGUAAUGUAUGUGAGAUAAAAAAAAAUAGCUGAAAAUUCAGUGAUAUUCGCAGAAAAACUCAAAAAUUUGUUCUCACGAAACUAGCAAUCCAAACAAUUACAAGCCUUUGUUUUCCUUUUCUUUUUUCCUAAGUUCAUUCCUUGAUAACCAAUUUGAUGAGAUUUUUUUUUUAUGCAUCGUGAUUUAAGAUAACCCACAAAUUAAUUUACAGCAAGCCCUGUAAAUACAAGAACAAAUGAUUGACACUUGAUCCUCAAAAUAUAACAUGGAUUCUACUUUGUUUGGAUUGCAUUUUUCUAUAUUUUUUUUUAUAAAAAAAUUAUUAUAAUAAUUUAAUAUAUAUAUAUAAUAAUAAAUAAUUAAAAAAUAUGUUCACGAAGAGUUCCCAAAAUAUAACGUCGAAGAAGUACCAAGCUUCAGUAAUUUGUAUUCAAACGCAACAGAACACAAUCUUGGACGUUAAAUUCCCCAUUGAGCCUUGAGCAGAUGAAUUUUCACAGGGAGCCAAAAAAGCAACAGUAAUGAAACUAUAGUAGUGCAGGGAAAUGUUGGAUAAUGAUGGAACACCGUCCACGUAAAUAUGCACCAAUAUAAGAGGCUACAAGCAAUGCGCGGCGUGGAGACAGAAUGAUAGCAAGUAUCUCUUCACAUAUUUCGUCUGUCAAAUGCAUGAUGAUGAUGAUGGAUAGAUCCUCCAUUGCAAUUCACAGGACCCUGCUAAAAGCCUGACCAAAACAACCAUCACUUUGUCUGAUUGCGCAUUCUUAUAGUAUUUUAAACAUCUGCCUAAUAUGGGAUCAGGGCCUCAGCCAUCAAGAAAAAGUGAAGAAAGUUUUGCCUGCAAUUGUACUCAAUUUCUGACAAAGUGAAGUCUGUUUUGGUUUUCAGAUGAUGGAUUGUUUUGGAAGAAAUGAGUGAUCUUGAAGUUUUACCAGUAUGAUUCUUUUUUUUUAAUUUGACAAAAUUGUAAGUUUAUAUCCUUUUUUUUUUUUUUUAACUGAAUACAAUAGAUCUAUAUUUAUUUCAUGCCAUGCGUAGGGGAGAUCUGAAAAGACUCAAGAAAAAAUCGGUGAGAACUGAACCAUCACCAGUCAAAACGGAUGCAACCACUUAAAGUGACAAGUCACGUAUAAUGGCAAAUCGUAGCAAUUGCCUAGAUGAUGAAGUUCUGUGGGUCUCCCUUAGCUUGAGUGAGACUCUUUUUGUUGUGCCCUGAGUAUAGUUUAGUUUUUCCCUAUUAAAUGCCUAUUGUCGAAAAAAAACAUAUAAUGACAAAUAGUGGAAGGCAAGGUUUGAACCACAUAUAAUGACAAAAUUGUAAAUUUAGUCGUGAGAUAACUAAUGUGGUGUGCAAACACGAAAUAUUGAGGAUUUUAGGGACAAAGUUUAAAUUGUGUGAAUACUUUGGGGCAAAAAAAAUGAAGAUAACAUUUGGUUCAAUAUUUAUAAGGGGUAUGAUUCUAAAUAACUUGUGAACCUUGUGUAGAAUAUUUGAAUUCAUUCUUCAGACCUAUUAUUAUGGAAGAAAGCAGAAUAUACAGUGGUGAAAAAAAAAAGUCUACUUUUGCUUUAUUAUGAGCAAAAUUUAAGACUUCAAAAUUGCAAAUGUAAUGCUCAACGAGAUAUAAUAAAAAUAAAAAGUUAAAGAAAGUAAUAAAAUGCCCGUUCUAUCAAGAAGUCGAGGGGGAAAAAAUCAUGAUCAUCAUAGUUUUGCUUCAACUUAUGCUCUUCUUCGUAUUAUUUGAAUAGAUAGCCUUUCUCAUUAGUCUUAGUUAAUUUUUCACUUAAAUAUAAAAAAAAAGUUUACUUUUAUUAAGUAUGUUAUAAUAUAGUAUUCGAUUUAGUACUAUUGCUUUCAAGGCUAAUAUAAAAUUCCAAAUCCACAUAGUACUCAAUUACGCCUGAAUAAAUUGAGGGUAAUUUUCACAUAAAUCUAGGGGUUAUUGCAAGAUUUAUCUUAAAUAAAUUAAUUAAACAUUCUCAAUUAGCUCAAACAAAUAAAUACUUCUACUUGAAUAGAGUUUAAAAAUGAACUAAGUAAGUUAAUAUUCGAAUCAAAUUUGACUUGACAAGAGUCUGUUUAAGUUUAGUUUAUUAAAUAAUUCAGCCAAACUUGAGAAGUGCUUUAUGUUCGAAAACAUUUAAAUUCGAUAAAAAUCCCAUUCAAACUUUAUUCAACAAAUAAAUAAAUAAAAUUUUAAACUAAUUAAAAUAAUCAAAUAAAUUUAGACACUACAAUAUUUGAUUUGGUUAAGACUUGUCUACACCCUUAUACAUGAAAUUAUACAUAAAUCUCCUAUUCUCAAAUCCUUCAAAAAAAAAAAAGAAAAAAAAAAAGGAAAAACAGUGGCAAGCUGUAUCGAACUACAAACAUACCACUAAUUCAUACUAUAGGUAGGUCCCACAAAAAGCCCCCGGUGAGCCGCGUACUCUGUCGGUCCACGUGGCAAAAGAAACAUGCGGUGUGUCACGUGACUUUGCGCCCCACAUUGUCGGCUUGUCGCUCUGAUGCGACAACCUUUUGCCUUUUAGAUCCCACUGUUAGUGUUAUGCUCCUACCCUUUUAUAUCGCCAAUAUCUCGUGUUUCGUGCUUCUUCUCGUCCGAGAUCUUGACAUUUUCUCCAUUUUUUUUCCCUACAAUUCCUUAUGAUGAAAUUAUGACUAGUAAGUAAUAAACAGAUGUUAAUAAAAUACUGGGCUUAAUCGAUAAACAAAAUCUUGACACAGACAUAAAGUAAAUGGAGCCUUCUAAUCUUCAGUUGCUAUAUAAAAAAAAAAAAAAAAACAUGUAAUGUGGUCUUUGAUCAUAUGAAGACCAAUUUGACAACUAGUAUACCAAAAGCAUUUGAGAUAGUAAACUACUAAUUCAACAUGGAAGAAAGCAAUCAGCCCUCUAUAUAAAUGAUAAAAAGCCAUGCCCUAAAACUCUAGGGACAACAAUAAUGGAAAGUAUAAAUGGUACUAUUCAAAAGUAAUUAAUUAAUUUGGAAACAUAUUAUUGUACUUGGAAUCUCAAAAAAUGCAAACCAAGAUUAAUUACCUAUGCCCUUCUUACAAAACAAAACAGAAGAUUAAUCUAACGCAUGCCCGGUAGAGAGCGAUUAGAAGAAGGUUCAAGUGCUAAUAUUUUCAAAAUUAAUUUUAAAUAGAGAAAAUAUUUAGAAUGUAAAUGAUGAUGUAUAUAAUUUGUAUCUAUAUAAAUAUAAACGUAAAGAGGAGGUCUUGGUCUAAUAGUUAAAAUCGAAAUCUCAAAAUUUAGAAGCUGCUUGGUUUAAAUCCUAUCCUCUUCUCAAAAAUUUUUAUUUAAAAAAAAAAUAGUCAAUGUGUUAUUCAUCAUGCCUAUAAAAAGAUGCGCGUCUGUUGAUAUAUUUCAGGUGUCAUAUUUUAGCUUCGUUAACGCCUUUCCACUGAUAAGGAAAACCCUUAAAUAUUUUACAAAAUAUAAUGCUGCGGCCCCAAUUGGAUGCUUAAGAAUCUAAGCUGGGAAUUGCUAAAUCUUUUUGUUGGUAGAUAAAUUCUUUUUCGGUUGUGGAUUGCCGUACUUUAGUGGUAGCCCCAUCUUCUUCUUCUCUUAAAUAAACGUUCGUAGUUAGUUUUCUCUUCGGCUUUUGCACAGGCCCACAGGCCACCGAUUGGCAGCUGUUUCAGGUCUCUACUUUCCAGAACAGGGUUUUGUGCUGAUUGUCUUCACAAUAGUAGACAGCAGAAAGAAAGAAAGAAAGAAAGCUAGAGAGCAUGGAGAAGCAAAAAUGACAACAUAUUUAUGCUUUUUUUUCUUGUAAAAAGACUCAACCUUUAGACUUUGGCCAUUGCUUCUUCUUUUUUUUUAUGCUAAAGUUUAGAGACACCUAAGCUUAAUUAAGAUUGUCAAAAUCUUUGGUACUGUUGGGAUGAUGACAACAACAGUUACGAUAUCAAGGCAAAGUCUGCAAGAUUUCUCUUUGUUAAUCUUGGUUUAAGGAUUUGCCAUUUGUCCCUUUCCAUUUUUGUGUUCUUUUGUCGGCCAUUUAAGAGUUAUUAAUGUUGUUAGCAAGCAGGUUAAUUGCACUCAUCUUAUGGAUGGACCUAACAAUUCCUAGGUUAAAUGCAUUGCACGUUUGCAUUAUCAAGAUGCUUGUUGUCUCGAGGAAGAAAAAAUCACUUGAUUAUUAGAAGGAUUAUUAAACAUAAAAUAUAGUACAAUUCUUAUUCUAUCCUUUUGAUUCGAGGAUGAAUCGAUCAUCAGAAGAAGAAUUAGGCCAAAAAUUAGGACGCAUCAUCGGAAAAUCAAACUUCCAUUGGCCGUAAAAAAAGAUUCAAUUCAUUUCUUAACACUAACAAACAUUUCCCUCUUUUAUUUUGGUAUAAUCAAUGAGAGUGUCGUUUCGUUUUUCCUUUUCCUCUUCUUUUUUUUUUUUGAGGGGGGGGGGGUUUGAAUGAAUUUCUUGUUUGCUUCUAUAUACUUUCUUAAGUGCAUGACAGUUAAACAAAGUUUACAAAGUAAAAGAAUGAAGUGCUUUACAUGACAAAUGAUACUGUCGGAAAAAUAUGUUAGUAACACCAUAGAUGACUUAAUUUUUUUUUGUUAUAUUAAUGAGCACGUUUAUGAAGACUUAGGAUUCUUAAUGAGCAGAGCACCCUCCUGAAUCUUGAUUAUCUUGUCUGCUCCAACUGUAUACUUUUUUUGGUCAUGCUUUACUUUUGAUGAAUUUAGACUAUGAUCCCAUCUUUGGUAAAAACAGAUGCAAAAGAAAGAAAGUUGCUUACGCCCUAAAGAAAGGACAACACAGAAAAGGAAAAUACAGUAUUGACUUAAUAAAGAGUACUUAAUAAAGUGUUUAGAACAAUAAUACUCCCUCCGUCCCACUUUGAUAUUCUUAUUUUCAUUUUUUAUUUGUCCCAAAUUAUAGUCCGCUUUCCAAUUGAAAAAUAUAGUUGUAUUUUAAUUUUUCUAAAAUACCUUUAUUUUAUUCAUUAUAAGUUGUUGUUACUCUAAACCUAACUCAUCUAAUGAGAAUUGAUUCUUUUUUUACCAUCAAUUCAAGUUCCCAUAAAGUUGUACUCUAAUUAAUGUGAGGGUAUUUUAGGAAAAUAGCUACCUAAAUUGAUCGUUCCAACAAAGUUAACCAAGUUUUCUUAAACUAUGUGAAAACAAAACCAGAACUAUCAAAGUGGGACGGAGAAAGUAUUAUCUAUUGCAUUUGACUAGUAGUUCUAAAGAGUUUACAAAUUUAAAUGAAUAUAAAACCAUCCCAAAUUUGUUUUUCCAAAAUAGUUUCUCGGAUUGAGACAAUUGAGAACCUAAUAGUUCAUACACAUAAUUUACAUGUGCCAAAUUUAUUAUUAUUAUUUUUUAAUAAUUUAAGCUUCUACAAAUCAGUUGAAUCCAUGAUCCCAAAGUGUUACUUACUAAUCAAGUUGGAAAGAAACAUAAUUAGUUUGCUAAUUAUAGCAAUCAAGUCUAUAUGACCUGUAUAUCAAUUUCAACAAGUAAAAUUUCUCUCCCAAUCUUUAAGUAAUUGCGAAAUCAACAUUAACCUACAGCCUUGGAAAUUAUAACAAUCUUGGUAUGCUGAGUCUAUUAUACUUGGGAAGCAGUUGUAUAUGUACCCUUGGAGUCUUGGACAAAUUGCUGCAUGACAGCUUCAUUCAUGCAUGCAGGUUUGUUUUUUUUUUUUUUGUUGAGGAAAUUCAUGUAUUGGAUUUGGAAUAGCUAAGCAAUUGUUAAUGACAUGGUCUUAUAAUUAUAUUUCCACUAUUUUUUUUUUGUUAUCAUAAACAUGUUUCAUUUAAUCAUUUUUUAACUUUACCAAUCAUCUCUUUAUUCACAUAUACAUUAUAUGACAGACAGUACUAUACAAUUAUUUCAAAAGAUUUUCUAGAUAAUAUUCUAUCCAAACACGAUACUACUGUUAUUGAAAUACACAGUGUCAUUAAUAUAUGCUUAAUUAAAUAAAAAAGAGUUUUGGUCUUCACUUAAUUCACUUCUUUCUUGUUUUGCUUUUUCUUUUCUUUUCCUCUACUCUUUUUGUGGCUGAAACCAAAAAUGUUGACUAAACAUCAUUUUCAUGGUAGCUAAUUUCAAAAACAUGUUCGCAAACUUGCUGACUAACUGAAAAUGGCGAUAAAAUGCAAAGAAUUGAAAAAAGAGGCCUGAGAAAUUGAGCAAAGGAAAAACAAAAGCAAUCAAAAGUUGAAAACUUGAGAAGAAAGAGUGUUCCUUUUAGAGUGCUAGGCGCACUAGCAGACAUAUGGGUCCCAUACACAUCACUCUCUCCACCAUCAGCACCCCCUCAAGGCCUCAACCUACUUCUCCUUCACCCCCUCUUCCUCCUUUUUUUGGCACCCAAAACCAUUGCACAUUCUUCCCUCUACUCUCUUCUGUCAACCCUUUUGGUUUUACUCUCUUGUUCACACCAUGGAACAAACUCUAGGCUUACUAGGUGGUGGUUGUGGUGGUGGUGGAAGUGGUGGUGGACCUGGUGGCAGUAGUGGUGGAAGUGGUGGUAGUGGUUUGUCAAAUGAAACUGCAUCAUCAGCUGUGUCCAAAGUGGAGAAAGAUUAUAUGGGCUUGUCUUCAGAGGGUUCAUCUUAUGAAAAUGAAGAGGAAAUUGAGUUGGGGUUAGGCCUGAGUCUCAGUAGUGGUGGCGGUACUGGUGGGGUGGGAAAGAAUAAAGGGUCAUUGUGGGGUGACUAUGGGAGGAUAUUGACUGCCAAAGACCUGCCUAAUGGCUUUUCUGGAAGAGCCGGUGGUGUUUCUGGUACAAAAAGAGCCGCUGAUUGUGUUAGUCCUGCUGAGAAUGUGCCUGCCUCCACUGGAGUCAGGUUAGAAUUAUGUUCAUUUUUUUUCGCAUGCAAAAGAGUUUCUUUUACAUUUGAAAGCUUUGCUUUCAGUUUGGUGCUCUUGAAUUGCAGUAUUUUGAGUGUUAAUAGACAUGACCUUUAGAUGUUCUAUUUUUUUUCAUCUUUUUCUGGAUUCUUCUUUUUUCGUUGUUUCAUGAGUUCGUUGAUUUUUCAUGUGUUUGUUAUUUCUUGUUUGCAUUUUAGUUCCUUGAGUGUUAGGUGUGUGUGAUCUUGCGAACUACGGUCUGAUUAGCCGUUACUCUGUGUGUGUGUGUGGUUUUUUUUGGGGGGGGGGGUUAGUUUUCCUUGAUCAACAAUGAUUCCUCCAUUUGGUUAUCUAAUGGUAUAAUCCAUUCCUGUAAGGAUCAUUUCGUUGACAGUGGAACUCAUCUGUGUUACUGAAUCCCUUAUUUUCUUACCUUUUUCCCUCUUGUGAAAGAACUUUUAAUAUCUGAAUUUGGAAGAUGUUGGGGCUUCAGGUAGCAUUGUACUUAUAUGCCAUGCUUCUCUUGCAAGAUUUAGCUAGAUUAAACAGCAUAAAUGACAGCAUUUAAGAUUUAUAGGUAAGCAUUUUUUUUUUGUUUUGUUUUUUGGUCCUCCCUUUGAUGGAAAAGUUUAUAGCUUGCGGUUGUUUUGCUUUCUUGAAGCAGUCAGGUAGUUGGAUGGCCUCCUAUUAGAGCAUUCAGAAUGAAUAGCUUGGUUAACCAAUCAAAGAAUCCAAAUGUUGAAGAAGAUAAGGGAGUUGGCGGGAACGAAAAGAAGGAAAAUUUGAAGAAGAAAACCAACUAUGGAAAUCACAAGACUGAUGAUACCCCAAAGGACAAAGGUCAUCUUGGUUAUAUAAAGGUGAAUAUGGAUGGAGUUCCCAUUGGAAGGAAAGUGGAUCUGAACGCUCACAAUUGCUAUGAAUCCUUGGCCGAAGCAUUAGAGGAGAUGUUCUUUAAUACCAUUGCAAUUAGUAAGAUCCUUCUUUUUCCCUUUUGACUUUAAAUAGCCUUUUGCUCUCCAAGGGAAGAAAUUAUGUUUUACCAUUUUUUGGGUUAUUUAUUCCCUUGCAGCUACAAGAUCUAAUUGUUUCACCUUCAAUGGCGAUAGAUAACUACUAGCAAGCACAAACACUUGCCAUCUGCUAUGCAUGUAUCUUUUGUUAACAGAUGUUACUCACCAUUCUUGUAGUGUUCUUGCUUCCGUGUUACUUAGAUGUGUUUGUAUCAUUCGGAUCAGGUGGUGAAAAGGAAUCAUCCAGACAGCCCCCAAAGCUUUUGGAUGAAUCAUCCGAAUUUGUGCUCACAUAUGAGGAUAAAGAAGGAGAUUGGAUGCUUGUGGGAGACGUACCAUGGGGGUAUGCAACUAAUUAGAUUGCCUUCUUCUAAGUAUGGAAUAAAUAAUUUGUAGAAAGAUCGGUGCACUAGUAAACAUAUUUAUGUCAAAAUGCAGCAUACGCGGUUCUUUUGUCUAUUUGGCCAAAUACCCGACUGAGUGAUGUUUCAGAGGUUCAGUUACAAGAAAUAGGGUUAACAUAAGAAGUUAACUAAGUAUACAGUAGCUGGAAUGUUUAUAUAAAGCCAAGCUUUCUAGUAACUGAGCAACUUGUGCAUCUUAGGCUGAGAUACUGGAGAAAAGUUUCCAGACUUUCUUCUUACCAGAAAGACUAAAGCAUACAAUCACAAUAACUAUCUAAAAAUUCAAUUAAAAAAAGCAUAAAAAAAUCAACAAAAGCAUAAUCAUUUUGUGUGAUGUGAAUUUCCAAGUGAUAAUUGCUGCAACACUAACACAUGACUUUUAUGUGCUUUGCAUUAGGAUGUUUCUAUGCACUGUCAAAAGGCUCAGGAUAAUGAGGAACUCAGAGGCUAAUGGAAUUGGUACGUGCAUUUUGUAGGCUAAUUUUCAUCCACCUUCCAAUACUAUCAGCAAUUUUGUAUUGUGAUUAUGAUAUUUCCUUACAAAAACCUUCUCAAAAUUCCCAGCUCCAACAAUCCAACAAAGGCAUGAAAGACUGAAGGGUAAGCCAAUUUAGAUGAGUGCUGGUUCUUCUCCAACUACAAAACGGCUGAAAAAAUGAGGCCACAGCUUGAAAAGGAGACCAAGGAAAACAUACAGAACUCUUAAAGAGUUACAACAGCUCGCUGAGAUGUCUAAUUGUUGCUGCUUUUGGUUGCAUUUUUUGUUUUAAUGUGUUCAGAGUCUAGUAUGUCCUAUUCAAAUCAGUUUUUGCAUAUCUUUUUUAGUCAUACACAAAUACUUUUUCAAAGGCCCUCUCAUAAUGUAAAUAUGUGUUGCUUUAUAUCCAGCUUCAUGUGUUUGCUGAGAACAAUUUGAUUUUUUUCAUUAUUUCUUUCUAAAUGUCUUUGGAUUGUAUGAAAGAAGUUGUGUUUUCUUGUGCGUUAGAUGAUUACAACAUCAGCUGCAAGUCCUAUUGAUCUCCAGUACUACUGUAAAAUUCGGAGUUAGGGCCCCAAAAGAAUUUCAACCCUAAUUGUGGAGAAUUUUGAGAGCACCAGUUUACAUCCCUGGAUUAAUGUGUAACACAAAUGGUGUUUAGCUUUAUGUUAACAUCAGAAGAAUCCAUCGAUGACAUUUGAUGCUUGUCAACCUUUUGAACUUGAUGUGCUUGUAGCAUACUUUCUGACUUCUGAAAUGUGGUCCAAGCUUAUAUGAUUCUUGCUGAAAGAAUGAAAGUGCUUGGAAGAUACAAGCCUACACUCCAAAUAAUGCAGUUUGGCUUUCACUUGAAAUGUGUUCACUCUUGCUGUUCACAGUUUAUUUAACUUGAUCAUUCGGAUUAUGCUGUCGAGUAGGUUUUGACUGUAUAGUCACGAUCAACAACGACCUGCUUUUAGUUGAUCGAAUAACCAACUGUAUGACACCAUUGUGGAGGGUGCAUCAUGGAAAGAAAAUCCCUUUUUCAGUAAUGUUCUUUCUUUUGGUUGCAAGCAUUGUGCAUCAAACAGCUGGAAAAGCUAAAAACAAGUGUCUCUUUCUCAGCGCAUCAAAGGGCUACUAAUCCCAUGACAGCUGCUAUCCAUGCAGGAAUUCAAUGACCGUGAGUGUUUAACACAAGAUGCUCUAGCCCUGAUAGGGUAGGCUGCCUGCAAUAUGCAAUGCUGCUGAGAUGUUCCUAGAGAAAACUUUGCAUUUUCAGGUUUUACGUUGUCCUGACAACCUUGGUUAUAUCGCGCAGAAAUGCUAGAAUUCUAGAAUUAUCUGAAGCAGACAACAUUAAUUAAUUUCUGGCAGAAUUGCUACUCAUUUGGAGGGCUCUGCUCAUAAUGAUUCUUGUUGCUCCAUAUGAGAUCUCCAGUCUUUCUUCUUGAUUUCAAAUGAAAAGAUAUAGAAUUCUGGAACAGCGAGACUAACACCUCUCACAAAAUGCAAUUGCAACUUCCUUAACAAACAGGUGCAGUAGAUCGAUCUUUAAGUUGAAGACCCCAUCAUUUCCAAGAACUGUAGGCAAAUACGUAAUCUCAUUGGAACUUUAAUGCCAUCUGGAUUUAUAAGUUAAACCAGACCAAGCAUGGCCUCAGUCUCCCUCACCUAACCCUAUGAGAAGAAAACCACAAUUUUGCAUAAUCCUAAGACCUGCUAAUGCUUGUUCUAGAAUGCAACAUAUUUCAUUCCACGCCAUGAGCAUAUCAGCAAAUUUCAUCCAAGAUAGUGAGUCGGCAACUUUUCUUUCCCUAGCCAUUAAGUAGCAUGACACUACUAACCAUUGCAUUGUGUGACUGCCUGACUGUUGGUAUUAAAUUGAAUCCACAAAAGAUUAUAAAGCUUGUAAAAGCGUUAAAAAUGCACAUGAUUAAAGCAACUUACAUGUGAAAUUUUUAAAUCUCUGGGUGCAUUCAUGUAAUUGUUAAAAUUUGUUUCUCAACAACUCAAAACAUUGUACCUUAUGAGGAUGCCAAACAAGAAAGUAUUAAGCUGCUGUUAUUGAACUAGGUUCACUCAAGCUUGAUCAUCACAAUUACAUUAUAAAUUUGAUCUUACAACAUGACAGUAGAAACUCAAAAUUCUGCUGUCGAGGAUUUCGGAUAUAUGUCCUCCUGCAUUUCUAGUGCACUAACAACCUUUGACAAUUACUAGUGAAACAUACAAACUAUCAAGGCUUCAGAUGGAUUCUUUUGACGCUACAGUUCCAGGAAUCAAGUUGGUGUCAGCGUACAAUGGCACACACUGAUAAAAAAAACUUACUGCAAAAACUCUCUUGGAUCAGUGACAUAGCCAGUUAAUGCAGAUGCUGCAGCAGUAUAUGGAGAAGCUAGAUAUAUCUGGCCUUCUUUGUGACCCAUUCGUCCAGGAAAGUUCCUAUUUGUGGUUGAUACACAGACCUGCAAUCAUAAAAUCUUAAGUGUCUAGUUACGUGUGACAAUGUGAGUUAAGAGACUGACCCUGAUCUUGCAACCAAUAAAUAUUAAUAUAACAGAAGAUAACACUUGAGGCAGUGAGCAACUACAUAUUUGUGAAUUUUUAGAUGACAUGUUAAUGGAGUAAGCACAUAUCUACUCCAAAUGCAACAUCAUUUUUCCAAAGAUUAAGCUCACAUGAACAGUAACACUGAAAUUCAACUGAUGUUCAUAUACAGCCAUUAGUAACAAGAAAAGAUUAAAUGUAUGAUAUAGGUAACAGAUAUCCUUCCCAUCCUCAAACUAAAACAUCUUCUAAUAGAUAGUAAAUUACAUGCGUGGGAUGUAAUUUCAGUAUCAGAAGCAGUAAAAAUGGAUUAAUGAUGCAUCAAACUUUAAUGACAACAUCACCAGAUUUAUAUGUUUCCUCUGGUUUAAGUUUGAGCCCUCAGUCAUUUUCGGCCAAUGCUAAAUUUUCUUUGAAGUUUAACUUUACACAAAGUGGAGCUACACAUAAUGAUGUUUGAGAUGGAAAAAGAAUAUGAAGGCAAAGUGGGGCACUUGAAGCAAGCAUUUGAGCACAUUGGUAGUCUGCUAAUCAAAACUCUAUAAAUUUCCAGUUAAGACAAAAAUCUUCUGUGGAGGGAAAAGCAGGCCAUCACUGAAAGAGGAAACUCAAUCUGAGAUGAAAGAUAUCUUAGAUGGCACGAAAAAUAGCAACACGAGUAGGCACCUAAAAAUCCUUCAUCAAUGUAUGUAAACCAUAUUUUAUCAUAAGCCAAUUGUCUCUCAAACAGAAAUAUGCAUAACUUACCUGAGGUUCAUUCAUGCGUGCAUAGGUGUCUUUGGGGCCUCCCAAACAAGCACCACAACUAGGACUUGCAGGUGUAUCACAGCCAGCUUCCUCGAAUAUCUGAGCACAAGUUUUACCACCAGAUCCUGGGACUGGAAGUGCAUAUACAUCCAUCCAAACCUGAGAAAUGGGAAAUAUUAAUCAAAUGCAUAAACCAAAUGCAUUUAUCAAAUUCAAACCCACAACAUAAAAGGUGUCAAUAUUCUGGCCAAAAUUUUACCUUUUGUGUUGCAGGGACCAAGAAUGUUGGUACCUUGACCUUCUUUCCCUACAAAAGGUGCCAUUGAUUUUUGAGUUAAAGGGACAUAGUUCCCAUCCAAAACAGAUAAGAUAGUAAUGAACUUUAAUUUCCUUUUUCCUCAUCAAUUUUAUUCAGGUAAAAGGAGAGAUUUCAAACCUGUAAACUUGCAAAUAAUAAGAUGUGAUAUAACACACCAAUCAGUAGUUUGCCUACCCAACUGAAAACAGUUUCAUAACUCAUGCAUCAUAAAUGCAGAAAAUCUUUGUCCUCAAAAUGAGCCAUUUGAGGAAGCAUUUAACAAACCAAAAGAAAGAACAAAAAGAAAGAGGAGAAAACAUAUAUGAAGAAUCAAAGGUAUAGUACAGCGGUUGAAUGACCCCAAAAAAAACUCACCACUGUGAAGCAAGCAAAUAAAUGCAAUAUCAUCUUCCGAGCCAGUUGAAGUGUUUCAUUGCACAAAAGGUAAUGGAAUGGAUAGAUACAAGAAGUAGAAAUGAUUACAGAAAAAGAUCAUGCAACAAGAUUUUUGAAGCUUAUUAAAGCAACAGAUGCAUCCCUAGUAAAUGAUGACGAACAUUCUUCUACUGAUUGUACUCAAUCUUUGAAGACAACUCUCAGCCAAGACUAAAAAUAAAAAAUUCAGAAGGGAAUUUCUUACUGAAGCUAGAAAAACUUUGGCAGCAGCCAUAAAAUCCUCAGUUUUUCCACCAGUACAUGAUCCAAUGUACACUCUGUCAAUUUUCACGUCUUUGCAUUCUCUCGCCAAAGCACGAUUAUCAGGAGAAUGAGGCUGCAAAAUCAUAAAUGACACAGUUAAAUGCACGAAACAGAGCACAAACCUUAUUGUGAAUUGAGACAAUGCAUUCUAGGCAUUACAGGUAUAUAAUCCACAAUCUUUUCUGCAAAAUCAACACUUGUCAAAACAUUGCUGUUAAGCACUUAACCCACGUUUUUGUCCUCAUUUUCCGGGAAAAAUUAAACUAUUUUGAAUUGAAUUUCAGAAAGGAAACAUGUAUUCAUGAAGGACGCAAGGGCUACAAACAGAAAUACAUGCAAUGUUCAUACUGUGAAAUCAGGUGGCCAAAAAAAAACCACUUACCUUUGCCACUAGAGGUUCCAACUUUGAGAUGUCAAAUCUAUAUUCUGAAAGAAAUCUGAACAAAGAAAAGCUCUGAUUAGCAACAACUCAAGCUAGCAUGGGAAAACAAUCUAAACAAGCAGAACUUUGAUUAGCAAAAGCUAAACAAACUAGGAAAAAAUUGCAAAGCCAAAAUCUCAGACGAGCACAUGAUGUAACAUGCAACAACUUGGAAAUUUUAACUUGUGAACCUUACAAUUAGGCAAGUAAAAAAACAAUACCAUUAAGAUGUCCGUUGAACAUAUUUCUUUUGUUCAACACAUUAAUAAUUUAUAUCAGUAAUAAGUUAUACUCUUAGUUUACUAUGGUUAAUAAGUUAUACUCUUAGUUCAACACAUAUUUCUUUUGUUCAACACAUUAAUAACACCAUUAAGUUAUACUCUUAGUUUACUAUGGUUAAAAUGGGUCUCAGGUGAUACUUCAGGCAGUACGAGAAUCUUUACUUAACCAAAGUCAAGGGGAACAAACAUUUCUUAUUUCUUAAACCAUUGCAGCUUAAAAAAUUUCUCACUUGUCUAACACUCAUUUAAGGGCAAGAUGCCAAUUCGAACUUAGAUGGUUAGCUAUCGCUAUCAGUCUAGACUUCAAUGAUACAUGUUAUGCAGCAACAACAGAACACUCAGAGACACUUAAUCCAAGAAUCCCAGACAAGGAGAAAACAGCAUUGAUGUCUACCUAUAGCUGAAUUAUAUACUUUUAACUGGGCCAAAUCCCUGCAACCUUCUUGAACUGAGGCACAAUCCAACAAUUUUCCUACUUACAACAAAGAAGAAAUCCCAAGUGAUCCUCAAGUAAGCCACUAAAUCUUAUUAAACAUGUUAAGUUAUUCAAGUUUGUAAUGAAUUGGAUCUUAAAGGUUGUUAUCUGUAUUUUAAUGUGUCUAACAGCAAUCAAGUAAUUGCAUAUUUGACUAGCAGAAAAUCAGAACCUUGCCAACCCCCAAGAGUAGUAAAUAUACAAACUUAAAUUUUCUGCAUAAAUUCCCAAACAAUUCAACCUUAAACCAUAAGGGAAACUAACCAAAAAGGCAGGAAGCACACACAAAAGUACACUGAAAAUGAUUUUAUGGUAAAUCAAUGAAGACCUCACUUUAAUAUUCUUUCAUGACAAGCUAAAAUUCAGAAAAGAUAUAUUCAAAAUUUGAUUUCUUCCCUCCACAAAAAGUAAGUAUUCCCCAACACCUGCCCAAGAUACAACAAUCAACCCAUAUUAAAUUUCUUGAUGCUCCUUGAGGUUGCAUGCUUUGAAGACUUCUCUUUCCUGUUAAACCAGCAUGUGUAUAUACACUCACACACUGUGUGUGUGUCUGUUAAACCAGCAUGAAGACUUCUCUUUUCUGUACGUAUGUAUAUGUACAUGUGUGUCUGUGUGUACAUAUAUAUGCAAGUAUAUGUGAUUUGUGUGUGUAUACAUGGCUAAGUUAAUGACAGCCUUUCUGAAUUCUUCCUGCAAAACACCAGAGGCUGUCACCAGAGAUCUUGUAAGCUCAGGUUAAAAAAAAAAAAUAGUCUCACUAGCAAUUCAUGUCUGACAUGUUUAUUUUACACUGUUGUUAAACUUGCACAAAGUAGACAAAGGAAAGGCAGCCAAAAGCAAAUGCAGCAAUUUCUAGCACUAGCAGCAAUCCUAAAACUUCCAAAACAUGCUAACCUUGCUUGCUCAUCACUGUAAACUGGCUCAUAAGGCACAGAUGUCUUGUCCUGUAUCAACAAGAAUGAAAAUGUUCAUAAGUUGGGUAAACAGUUGCAAAGGUUCCAUUUUAUUUUGUAGAUUACAAUAACCAUGGAUGUUUUCAAUUAGAAAACCCGAGAAGAAAUUAGACUCUUGUAGAGGGAAAAAAAAUAUAAGAAGAAAGGGGCUGCAGGAGGUUGGAUCAUCGAAAUGACAUGUCAUUCUUACCUCGAGGUACUUAUAUGUGGUGCUAUCAGCUGGAACAACACCAUUUUUGCCCCCAGCUUCGACAACCAUGUUGCACAGUGUCAUUCUUUCUUCCAUCUAUGAAAUACAAAGUAACAACAGCUCAAACUUGCUCACACCGAUAGAUAACCAAUCAAGCAAAGUAGAAUGAUCUAUGUCAAAAGCAAGGUUAAGGAAACUCACAGUCAAACUUUCCACAGUAGUACCAACAAACUCCAUUGAUUUAUAUGUUGCACCAGCAACAGAUAUCUCACCAAUAAUCUACAAUUGAAGAUCAAUAAGUGGUCAGACUUUAUACCAUAAAAAAUGGAAGAUACCAGGAUCAGCCUAAUUUAAAUGUCAUACUGAUUCCAUGUAAUGUAACUACUUCGUAUGUUCCAGUAAAACUUACUUGCAAAAUUAAAUCUUUUGCCAGCAAAUAAUCGGGCAUUUCACCAUCCAUAACAAAUCUCAAAGUGGGAGGCACCUGGAAUCAAACAUGUAAAAGUACAGAUCAUGCAGGCAGGUAUUUAAAAAGAAUAGUAAAUACGGCAUACAUAGAAACUGAUAUACUCUAAAGAAAUGAGCAAAUUUUUCAAAAACAGAAAAUCAAAACAGAAAAAAGCGAGCAUCAGUAGCCACGCAGAUGCUUCUCUGCAACAUGUAUAAUUCAAAAAUAUACGGACUAAGAUGGAGAAAAUAGAAGUUAAAUAUAAUCUCCAUCAGAAGAAAAUCUUAACAUUGCUUUCACUUGAUCACAGACAGCUAAUAAUCUCGAAAAGUAUAGAAUCUAUCUAGAACUGAACUCCACAAUCACCAAUGAAGAUGAACGUGAAACCCCACAAUCAUCAUCGAAGACGUAUAUAACCUAUUUAGAACUUAAUGAGCUUUGCUGCAUGUAAAAAAAUAACUGAUGCAGUUCCACAGGUGGUGAAGACUCUACACUAUGGGCGAGCCUAGAACCCCUCUUCUCAGGAAAGAGUAGGAAGCUAAGACAAGGAAACUCAAGUCUCUCAGAAGGACGCAUGGUAGCAUCUGAACAAUGAUGACAUUAAUAACAAACUAGAUGAUGCACGCACAGAGAUUAGUGCAAUCAGGAAUUAUAAACAUCAGGCAACAGAAAGAUGAUUCACCUUAAGCAAAAGCUUUCCUGUGCCUAACACAAAACCAGCAUCAGUAUUACCAAUUCCAGUAGCAAACUGCCCAAAUGCUCCAGCAGUACAUGUGUGCGAGUCUGUACCCAGCAAGACCUGAAGGCCACAAGGGAAGACAAGCACGAGAUGUUGGCAACCAUGCAAAAACAUUUGAAUCUUUUCAAAAUCUAUUCAACUAAGGAGGCAAAUAUGAACCUCUCCGGGUCUGCAGUGACCUUCUUGAGCAAGAGCAACAUGACAUACACCUUUGUAAUCAGGGUUAGCCUGUAAAGUUAUUGCAUCAAGAAACCAAUUACAAUUACAACUACAAAUAUAUUUAUAGCAGAUUACACUUGAAUAUCAACUUCUUUUCUAUGACAUACCAUUUUGCAUCACUGUCAAACACAUACCUUAAAAUUGCCAAGAUCUUGAAUGUCAUAGAAGUACUUGAUGUUUUGCUCGUUACAGAAAUCCCUCAAGAUGCCCACAUUACGGUUUGCUCGUUCAUCAGUAGUGAAUAUGUAGUGGUCAGGUAUGAUGACAAGCUUUUCACGGUCCCAGACCUUUAAGUGGGAGACAGAAAAAAGAUCAUAGGUUAGAUGUUGGACAUGAAUCCAAUCAAGACAAGAAUCUAAUUCCACUUUACUCAAGUUUAAUCAAGUUAAACCUCAAUACUUGCGCUAGGUACUCUGCCAUUAUUGAUAACGAAUCCUAAACAUUAGCCUAUUAACAAUUAGUUCAACCCAAUGGCACUUCUAAACAAACAAACAAUCAACAAAUUCAUACUCUAACAUAACUCAAUUCACAAAUUCAACCCGAAUCAAUUCAAUUCCAUAAUGCUUCCAAGAAAACAAUAGCUCUCCAAAAUGCAAAUCAGCAAAAAGAUGUUUAAUUUUAGUUAAAUCAUUGAUAAACUGCUUAGUUCAUAGUAUAUACCUUUGCAUUUUCGCCAAAUUCUCUCUUGAAAAUUCCAAUAGCAGGAGGCCCACAAACAUCAUGAGUCAUCAGAACAUCAACAUUGACCCAGACAUUCUCACCAGGGCUCAACUGUGAUUUCUCAGAAGCCUUUGCGAAUAUUUUCUCAGUCAUGGUCAUCCCGGUCUUGACCUUAAGAAGGACAGAAAAAAAAUGACAAAAUUUACCACAAAUCCAUCAAAUUCAGCUACCCAUUUGACAAAAUAUUAUAUUAAAUUACAUAAGAGAGAACCCAACUGAACCAGUGGUAGCAGGCCUUCUUUCAGACUGCUGAGGUGCCAUUACAGACACAAUUUUCUUGCAGGCCCUUUUCUGGGAUUUUCGAACAGAAAAUGAGGCUUGUGAGGAGAAAGCUGAAAGGCCUGCAUCUUUCUGUUAACUCCAAAGUCACGCAAAACACAAAAAAGAUCAGUCCUUCACAAAAUCAGGGGAGAACAUAGAUUUUUGAAAAAAAAUGAAGCCUUUUCCGGUUAUUAAUUCAAUUCAACGCCUAAUAAUUGAAAUAUACCUUGUUAAUCAAAGGUGUAGGGGGUGAGGUAAUGGUAGCAGACGCCAUUGGAAAUGAUUGAGAAAUUAUCUUCACUUUUCUUUGUUUGGCUGCUGAGAUUUCUGUUUUAGGUAUACGGAAAUAUGAAAACGGUGGAUGAGGAAGAAGGAAACCAAAGUGUAAACAGAAUUUGUGCUUCAAUUUCUCUAUUUUCGUCUUUUAAUUUUUCCCCCACUUCUUGAUGGCGGCUGCCUAUUGAACUGGUGUUGACUUACGUGACUCGUGUAUCAAUCAGCGAUGGGCCACGGCGGUGAAAUGUGGUCGUGAGUUGUUGGAUUCACUUAGGUCAUGCCACCUUUAACUCUAAUUUUUUUUUUUUUGUCAAAACAUGCCACCUUUAACUCUACCGGUGUCUCUUUUAUUAUCUUUUCUUUAAUUUCAAGGUGUUCGUGUGUUCAACUCAAGCUCAAUCUUUUCAUUUCAGCCUAAACUAACAAUUAAGCACCCAACUUUCAAGUAAUAUGGCAAAUCUAUCAAUUAAGAUGUUACAGGAACGUUUCCAUUUGUCAUUUCUCCAGAUUAUUGAAAUUUUUAUUCUUUAAUAAAUUUGAUCGAUGUCAUCCAAUAGUUUUUAUUGGGAGUGUAAUAAAUUAUAAUCAAGUCGAACACCCUAAUGUUCAAACAAUUUGUUUGAUUCAACGAACUUAUUUAUCGAAUUUGAAUGUUAUCGAAUAUAAAAUGCUGUUCAAGUUUGGAUUAAUUAGUUGGUGAAUUAAGGUCGAAUGAACUCUUAUCAAGUUGAACUCGAUUCUAGUAUCGGGUAGUUUGAUUCAUCUUUCAAUUCUAAUUAUUAUUUAUUAAAUUUAAAUCUCUAAAUUCUAACAUACUACGAGACAUAAAUUUAAAUGUUUAAAUUCUUUUUAUAUUUCUAAAAUUUUAAAUUAUUUUUGAUCAUUUGUAGUUCAGGUGCAUAAUACGAGACAUAAAGCUAGUAUAAUGUGCAAUGAAAUUUUGGGAAGUAGUAACGUUGAGGGUUAAUUCUGCAGGUUCCCAACAGAAUGUAAAUGUAUUGAGAGUUUGAGACAGAAACAUCAAUGGAACCGUGAAAGAAUGCAAGAGAAAGGUGAAAUCCAAAAACUGCUGUACUUAACAGCAUUGCAACCGAAGUAGAAUAAACCUGAGUACAAGCAUGGUCGAGAAUCAUGGGAACUGUGAUUAAUGAAUAUCCAUGAAAGAAUCCCUUGUUAGCCACUGCAUCAAAACCUUGAAAGUUGAAGCAGUACUGCAAAUAGCAUUGAAGACCAUUCGAAAGACGCGCAACCAGAAGUUCUGCACAUUGACGUUCCUUGAAGGUCGUUUUUCAAUGAUAGCCUCUGCUGUACACUCCAGCAAAAACCACUUCGAUUCGAGCAGCCAACCUGCACAAACAAGGUCAUCCUCUUUAAGUUGCGCAGUUGAGUUGUGCGCAAAAGCAGCCCACUGAAUCCCGCUUAACUUUUUCUAAACACUGGUGCUGAUAACGCUAAAAUUCUUCAGUAUCUGACAUCCCGGAGCAUCAACAUAUGCAGAGAUGUAAUACUGCAAUAAAUUCUUGACAGGGUGGAGAGCAGCAUGAAUAAGGUAAACACUAACUUCAUCCACGUUGUACUCAACCUGUUAAUUAUCGAUCAUCAGUAACACCUUCAUUUCUCCAGAUAUUCUUGCCAAGGCUGCAAGUGACAAUGAGUAUUAGCUUGUGAACUCGUGAGAAUAGUCAACGCAAAUUUUACAACGCAAAUUUUACAAUUGACUUGCGUUUCCACUUUGAUAGAAGCAGAUCUGGAACCAAGCAAGCUUUCGAUGUCUUCAUCAUUGUGAGGAUGAACUUCCUCUCCAUCUUUUUCCUGCUGAUGCUUGUUUCUUCUUCUGUAUUCCAUUAUGUUAAAAAAAAAAAAAUACUUUCCUUAAAAAGAUGUUUUUGAACACAAACUAGUUCGUUAUUUGCAUGAGGAUUGUGCUCUUGAUUCAAUUCUCAGCCUGUUUUGUUUGGACAAAGGAUUACUCGGAAUAAAACUUUUAUUUUAUCGCAUUUUCAAUUUCCCUUUUUGUUAGACACGAGGACAGUAUGUUUAUGAUGGCACGCAAACACAUUUUUAUUACACAUAUAUAUCAAAAAAUAAUAGUUAAAUUUUUUUUCUUUCAAAUAAUUUUCUGUUUAAAUACAGAGACAUUUAACAUUUGGAUAUUGAAUUCAAAACUUCUCACUUAUAAAAAAUAAUUUAAAAAAAAAACAUUUAACAUAAAAAUAUAACCAAAAAAAAAAAAGAUAAAGAGACAAAGAAGGGGUGAAACUGGCACUGUAAGGUUAACCCCUAAAUACUAGCCAUGUCGUCUUGUUCCUUGCAUUGCAUCAUCUUCCCAACUUCCCACGGGACAUACUAACAUUCAUUACUACAACCUGAGUACUUUUUUAUUUUAGCGCACAUACUUUUUCUGCUACUGCUUCUGACAGCUGCGGCUGCUGUCCCUUUCCUGCAUUGUAUCUCUGGCGGGAAAAACCGAAAACCACUGAACCAGAAAAAUACUUUACUCCUGAGCAACAGCAAGAAUGCAUUAUUGGGUAAUGGCAAGGAACGUCGUCGUUUCACUUCCUCGGUGGCGCUCUGUUUCUCUCCUCCUCUCUCCUUCACUUGGCCACCUUUACCACCAUCGCCGCAGCUUCUUCACUUCGUCUUCUCCCUCUCUGUAAUAUCUCUGUCUCCCUCUCUUUUUAGACUAUUUAGUACAUAUAAAUAUGUUUGUUGAUGGGCUUUUGCUAGAAAGUUUGAAUUUUUGGUUUCCGGUUGGUUUGGGAAUGUGGUAAAGUUUCAAUCUUUACUGUGUCAGAAUAGUUUUAGCUUUUUGCAUUUCUGGGUUUGAUUAGAAUUUGCGACAUAUUAUCUGGGUUGGUUCUGAUUUUGGUACAUAUUUUGCUUGUGUGCGCGUUUUCUUGAAAGAGUAUUUCGGAGAGUGUGUGAUGCUGUGUCUGUGAUUCAGUGAGAAGUGUGUGUAUGUGUGACUGUUUUUCAUUGAGUCUGUGUGCGUGUGUGGCUGUGCGUCUCUGAGUCUAUGUGCCCUUGUGGCUGUGUGUUUCUGAGUGUGCGUGUGACUGUGUGUUUGUUAGUAUGUGAUUUGGUGUGGCCGUGUAUUUCUGACUCUGUGUGUGUGUGUUGGGAGAGUCAGGGAGAGAGGGAGGCAGAGAGGGGGAGAGAAUCUCUGGGAAUCUAAUUUCUGUUGGCAAGAAAUAUUAUUGAUGUACAUUUUGUAUAAUUGUGGAGUGUGUGAAAUUCAAAUUUUAUAAUGUUUUCAAGUCUUGGAAACUGCAAAGUUCUAUACUUUGCACCUUCGUUAAGUCCUUUUGAGGUCUACUUUUUAAAUCGUCUUGGUAGAAAAUGUAUGUACCAUGUGUCUGCCAAGCAACAAAGAGCCCACUGGUUAAUUGCUUUAUUAUUCACAUUUGUUAUGACUUUAAAUAUGCAGUUUUAUGAUCUAAUUGAUGGAGUAUGAACAAUUUUAAGUAUUUACUUUGUUCACAACAGCAUCAGGCGGUCAGAGCAGAGAUGUCUUAAAGAGCGGAAUUUUUUUACUAAAGCAUGCAGAAAGGUCAAGCAAUUGAGUAAUAGUCUCGAUGAAAAAGAUUUGAAUCACGUCCUGUGGUGGAGGGAGGUAAGCUAUAGACAUGACUUUGUUGGUAUAACGCAUGCGCGUGUAUUAUGUGAUAUCUGUCACAAAAAAAAAAAAAGCUUUGCAUCAUCAUUUGUUGUUGUUGCUGCUGUCCUUCAGAAAAUGCAGAUGUGCACAAAGCCUUCUACCAUCUCACUUGUCAAGAGGCUUGCAUAUGAUAAUUUGUUGGGUGUGGAUAGCAACUUGAAAAAUGGGAGGUUAGUCCUUUUUUCUCUUUAGGUCACUGGUGGACUUUUUGUCUUCUAUCUCCAUUCUUGGCCUUCAAUUUCUAUUUCUUAGACCAUUAUGCUUCCCUGUCUUUUGCAUUAAAAGGAAUUUAUCUUUGUUAAUAAAUUUGAACCUUUUUCUUUUGCAUUAUUGGAACUGUAAUUUAGGAAUUGAGGAUCUUUGUGUCUUUUGUAGCCACUAACUUUAAGAUUAAGAGUUGAAGAGUAAUAUUUAGCGUGAUUGUCUUGUGUGUCUGUGUUUCCUGAUUCUUGUAACAAAAUUUUGUUCCUUGCAAUGGACGAUAUUACAUUGAAGGGACUCAAUACAAUAGGCCCUUCAAUACAAUAGGUUUAGGAGUUUUAACCUGUAAUUUAAUGCAUCCACGUUAAAUCUGAUGGUGUGUUGCUAACAUCAGUGACAAGAUGGCCUUAUGCCAGCAAUGUGGACCGUCAGUUAUUGUAUGCAAAUUAUAACAAAAUUGUUUUGCUUGUAUUGGAUCACAAGUUGUUCUUUUCCAAGAAGAUGAUUUUCUUUGGAUGGGCAUAAUGAAAUUCAGUUCAUGCUGUCCAAAUAUUCCUUUUUUGAUGGAAAUAUGUAAAAGCCCAUUCUCUAAAGGUCAUGUUUUUCCUAGCUAACUUCUUUUCUGAAACUUAGGUUUGAUAAUGGACUUUGUUUUCUCUCUCAUCCUAUGUAUGCUCUCUAUGCUUGUAUAGAAAGUACCAAGCUGGUCAUUGACUUAAGUAUUCACUUUCUGCUGUUGUUCUUUUGUAGCCUGAAGGAAGGCAACCUUAAUUGGGAAAUGCUGCAGUUCAAGUCAAAAUUUCCACGCGAAGUUUUACUUUGCAGAGUAUGUUCUUCAAUUUAUUCAUCUUGCACCUGAUAUUCUAAUACUUGUUUUCUUUGAAACAACUUAUUCAGCUUUGGUAUAUUAUUUGAACAAGUGAAAUUGAGGAAAUGACCAAUAUAGUGUUUUAUAGGUUGGAGAUUUUUAUGAAGCCAUUGGAAUUGAUGCUUGUAUCCUCGUGGAAUAUGCUGGUCUGAAUCCUUUUGGUGGUUUGCGUUCAGAUAGUAUUCCAAGAGCAGGUUGUCCAGUUGUGGUAAGGAUAGUAUUCCUGUGUAAAAUUUAUUUUCUUUUAAGGUUUUAAUUACUCACUUUCUCAUGGUUCUAGAGAUCUCUAGGAGAUUUAGUCGAAAGCUCAUAAUUUUCCUUGGCCAAUUAUUUAUUUUUUUCCCAUGCUGGGAUCGAUAAAAUGUUCCUUUCUUCAUUUAAGUGAACACUGAGAAUUAGCAUAUAUGUUUAUUUUGUAGACCUGUUUCUUAGAAAAGAGAUUACUGUCUAGACUUCUUACUCAUGGAAGGUGUGAAGACUAUCGGCCAAGUAUGGUUUUAAAAUUCUUCUUGUAUGUUCUCAGCAUACUAGUGCUUAUGGUUAUGGGUUGCAUUGGUGUUAGGUAUUCAUUGCCCUUGCUUUAUCUGCAAAUUUACUGGAUGACACGCAAAGAAAAUAUGAUCUUGUUCAGGUGUCAAUCUUGAGUAUUCUCACUUGCUAUAAAUUAUAGCAAGCAGUGCUGUUAAGAUGGUAGAGGAAGGGUUCAUUGCUGUUUUCAUGUUUAUAUCUUUUUGAACUUGCAUAUUUUUUUCUUUUUCAAGUAUUGUAUGAUUUUGCUUUCUGAAAAUAUUUACCUUCAACAUACAUGAUGCUGAUCAUUUUGUGUUGUUUUCACUGUGCUUUUUUGGCAGAAUUUGAGACAGACUUUGGAUGACCUGACACGUCAUGGCUUUUCUGUUGUGAGUACCAUAAUGCAAAACAUGCUAUCUCAGAUUCUCUAUUUCUGUGUAUGGUUUGGAAACUGAUCUGUGGGGCAUUAAAGCCAAAACACUUAAACCUGAACUUUUUGCCUAUAAAACUAUCUAUUCUCAGUUAAAGUGAUUAUUACCUGUUCAGCAUUCUACAAGGCAGUAAUAGUCCCAGAAAUUUCUUGUGUUCUCUCUUAAUUUUUGUGAAGAAUAGAAAGCUUAUGUUCAUCUUAUGUGAAAGUUUUUCUGCUGAAACACUACUCAUAAAUUGCAUAUAAGUGAUGUACUGUUAUUGCUUCAGAUGUUGUUUAAGGACAAAACAAGAUUUUUGUCUGCUACCUCAGUUCUAUUAAAAUUUUACCAUGAGAAUACUUUGUUUUCCAUUUUUGUCUUCCAAAUAAUGGCCUGCGUAUGGUAGAUUCCCAUUUUCUUUUAUGGAAGCUGAACAAAUUCACCUUUAUUCUGCUGCUAAGCUACCACCCCAUCGAUCUUCCAAGUAAUAUAUAAUUUUCCCAGGGUUUUGCCUGAUGAUAUUGUUUUGGAUGAAUGAUGCUGGCUAUGUUCUGAAGUACUUGUAUUUUGCAGUGCAUAGUGGAGGAAGUUCAGGGCCCAACACAUGCUCGUGGACGUAAAAGUCGUUUUAUUUCAGGGUAAUUAUGUGCUACUGACUUGGUUAAAUUUGGAUUGCUCUCUAAAUUGGUUGUUUUGGUUGUAUAUAUUGUAUUUCUGAUCCCUUCUUGAGAAUUUAUUUGGUUAUCUGCUUAUUUUCAUUUAUUCAUGAAAUUUUUAUUGUUAUCUUGAUCAUUGGUUGUUUUGUUUUCCUAACUUAUUCAAGGUGAUGGGCUUUCAUUUACUGCCUACCUGUUUAGAGUUAUAGAUAAUUACACUCAACUAUCCAUCAUGACGUCAGUUGUUGUACCUUUUAGUAAGUUUGUUGGGAUAAUUGGGUAGAAUGUAGUUGAGAAGACUACAAUAUGUUUUCUAAGUAUAUGUUCUCCUAAGUGACCUGAUAAAGCAAGUGAAGUUUAUUUAGUCAGAAGUAGAAAGUGUACAUAUGAUUCAAUAAAAUUAGAAGGAAAGAAAAACAGAAAACCUGAUCAGGUUGUGAUCACAGUUCAAUUUUGGCCUCUUUCUUGAAGCUUGAUACUGUAUGCUGGAAAAUUCUGCCUUUAGUAUAGUCUCAGCGGUGAAAUUAAGAUUUAUAUGUAGAUUUUUACUGUUCUUCUAUAUCAUGAUGUUGGAGUACGAGUAGUUGGUUCAUUUUAUUUUUUAUAUUUUUUUUGGCAAAUGACCAUGCUUUCAUGUAUUUUCAGUCAUGCGCAUCCAGGCAGUCCCUAUGUCUUUGGACUGGUUGAAGAUGACCGCGAUGUUGAUUUUCCAGAGCCAAUGCCUGUAGUAGGUAUGAGUAUAUCUAAUCUUCUUAGCUAGACCGAGUUUCAGUUGAGCUUGUUCUUGAUGAUAAAGUUGAGUUUUUCUUAUUUUGUUCCUUCUUCUAGGAAUUUCCCGGUCAGCCAAGGGUUAUUGCAUUAUUUCAGUGUUGGAAACUAUGAAGACUUUUUCUGUAGAAGAUGGUCUUACUGAAGAAGCCAUAGUUACUAAGCUCCGCACUUGUCAGUGCCAUCAUUUGUUUCUGCAUUCAUCGUUGAAACAUAAUUCAUCAGGUUUUCAAGGCCGUCCUCCCUAUCCUGAUUCCUUGUGGACCAUUUCUUUGGGACUGAUUGUACAAUCUGUUAACGUCUUGAUGACCAUGUCUUCAAGAUAAGUGAUGUGAUUUUCUCUCUGAUAAUUUAGUGAACAAGAAAAGGUAAGAAUAUUGAUUUUGUCUCUGAUAAUGAAGCAAACAAGAAAAAGCAGGAAUAAGGAAAAGACAGCUCCUUUCAUCCUUGAUGUUUCUUUCAUUAUCAUUUUUCUGGUGGCCACUACCAGUGGAUAAAUCAUUAUAUUGCCAUUUUUGCUGAUACCAUUUGAUUGCGGUUGGAUCUCACUGGAAUUGAGUCUACUUUGCAGGAACUUGUCGCUGGGGAGAGUUUGGUGAAGGUGGCCUCUUGUGGGGAGAAUGUAAUGCUCGACAGUUUGAGUGGUUUGAUGGUAAUCCACUUGAUGAACUCCUGUUUAAGGUGCAGUUGAUUGUCCUGUAGUUCCAAUAAAGCCUACCUUUUGCAUGUCCAUGUUUAAAAUUUAAAUGUUUCAAAUUGCAUGAUUUCAGGUGAAGGAGCUUUAUGGUCUUGAUAAUGUUGUCACAUUUAGAAAUGUAACUGUUGCUUCAGAAAAUAGGCCACGUCCAUUGUAUCUUGGAACAGCCACACAGAUAGGUGUGUAAGUUGUAUAAGUCCCUUUUUGCAGACAAUUGAGUUUUAAACUGCAACUUUUCUUCAUUGUUCGUUCUUUUAGGUGCAAUACAAACUGAAGGAAUUCCUUCUUUGCUAAAGGUGUUGCUUCCAUCAAAUUGUGUGGGUCUUCCUGUCCUGUAAGUCAGAGAUUUUUCUGUUGUUGAUUCUUGCUUCCAUAGACAGCUCUAUAAUCAUUUUGAAGAAAUCCAUCUCAGAGCAGCAUCCAUAACAUUGCAUUCACACAUUGAAAAUGUUGUCAACUCUGUACUUUGUUCUCUUCUAAGUUCAGAAGCUCCUGUAAUUUUUUCUCCGAGGAUAAAUAAUUUGAUUUUGAAGUUUCAUUAUUCCUUUUCCUUCUAACCUAAUUCUCAUGUUCUUAAAAAAAAGAAAAAAAAAACCUGAUUCUCAUAGUCAUGCCCUACUCUGAGAAGGGAAGCCUUUCUUGAGAUGCACAUGGAGGUUAUGUGAGAAAAAAAAUGAUGGGUUGGGGUAGGUCUAUUAUAAUUGGUCCAAAAACUUUGAACGCAUACCCACUAAGGAAAAUGACAGAUUUGGCACAGGAGGAGAAUUGAUAGACAUUUACAAUCCUGCUGGAUUCCUGCUCUUUUUUCUCUCUUUAUGGGUCACUGUAGCUUCCCCUUUUUCAUGCUAAUAGUCCAUAAUUUUAGCCUUUCCUUUGCUGUGGUUUUGUUGUUCUUUUGGAUAAUGGUUUAAUUUCCUUCAUUAGCUUGCAUGUUUGUCAUUGUAUCGGCUAGUAUUUUGCUUAGUUUGUGGCUUGUUCUUCUCUUAGGUACAUGAAAGGUCUUCUCUUGAAUCCUCCUGCCUAUGAGAUUGCAUUGACCAUUCAGGGUGAGCACGUCAACCUUCUAUUAGUUAAUUUGUUAAUGACAGUAGUGUGAUCCUACAUCUCUGUCAUGCUGCUCUCUAUCUCUCUCAACUUUUUUUGGGUUUUUCUUUGGGGAGGGGGGUUCGCAAAAUUGCAACUUCAUUCUACAUAUUCUUUUUCAGGAUUAUAUUGGUUGACUAGUUAUGUGCAAUGUGAUUUUCUUGAUGAUUACUGGAGCAUCUAUAAAACUUCUUGAGCUGUCUUGCUAGCCAUAUCUUAAGUGAUAUUCUCGUUGUCCUUUGCUUUGUUGCCUAAAAGGGGUACCUUUUCAAUAAAGUCUAUUACUUCAAUGAAUUAUAGUAUCUCAAUCUCAAACAUCUUACUUUUCUAAGUAUAUUUCUGCUUUUCUUUUACUUCGUUUCCUCUUCCAGUCUUUGUUUUAAGAGUUUAUGGGUGAACCAAGGUAGAGUUGGUGAUGUUUUUAGGAAACUGAUGUACAGUCCGAAACUUUUUAUUCAGGUUUGCAUAUCUUAGUUAUGACACUUUGUCAAAUAAUGGUCAAAAAGAACAGAACUCUACAAAGCCUACACUUAUUUUAAUUUGAGUUUUGUCUUUCACCAUCUUUCAGAUCUAGAUCUAUUUACAUGUCCAAUAGUUUGGAAUGCUUUUUUGGGCCUUUUUUUUCCUUUUGGAUGCAAUCUUGUGUUUUUCUUUCUUAUCUAUUCUAUCUUUUUGUUUCUUCAACUUUUAAAGCAUAUUGUAGUGGUGCUGAAUGUUACAUUUGUUGGGCCUUGGCCUGGAAGCCUUGGAAGGUGGUAGCUGGGGCAGUUGGGGUUUUGAGGGGAUGAGAUUGAAGCUCAUAAAGGGGAGGGACUAAACAGGUGUUGAAGUUCUUGGUGUUUGGGUUGGAGUUGGUGGAGGUUGAGUUGCUUCUUUUCCAUAUUAACUGUGAUUUCCACGUCCAUCCAUGUUAGACUACUGAGCUGGAUGUCAGUCUGUCUAGCAUUAGGCAUAUUUUUAAAUUUAUGGUGAGAUACAAGAUUAGCGUGCUAUAUUUGUAGUUGAAAAGUUUGGAGGCUUUGGUUGUCUAGUUUAUCAAUGUUUACCAAAUUUAACUCGCUUGGAUAUAUGUAUGGUCCUGUGGCCAUGGACUUGUGUUGAAUGUGUAUUUUCUUGUCUCUACUAAUACUGUUUUUAGUUUUGCAGAAAUAUGCAAGCUCAUGAGCAAUGUGGCAUGCUCAAUCCCAGACUUCACUUGUUUUCCUUCAGCAAAGGUUUUAGGUCUUUACCUCUGUGUUUAUUUGUUGUAACUGAAUGCAUUGGAAGUUGUUUGACUUCAUGGUUUCUGGUUGCUUCUGCUGGCUUCUAGGAUUGAGGUUGUUUUGACUUGACCUGGGUGAUUUUGAGAAGACGUGUGUCUCUUUGCUGGAUUUGAAGACAAUUCACCUCACUGAUGAUAUUACAUGUUGAUUGUGAUAAAAAAAAAUUCCAAAUUGGGCUGUAAUCUUGACUAAGUUUCUUUUUAGCUGAUGGAAGUAUUUUAUUGGAAUACAUGUUUUCAUGUUUAAAAGGUAUUGGUGGCAUAUGACCUGAUUGGUGUCUUAGCCACUGGAAUAGUUUACAUGGAUAUUCCUUCUGCAAAUGUUUCAGGUUGGACAUAUGUAUAGGAAAUAGGAACCCUCCUUAGUUGAAAAAUCUUUUACCUGGGAAUAAUAGGUACCUGAAUGGAGAGAUAAGUUUCAAAAUGUAAAAAUAGAGGAAAAUGGUGGAGAUGCAUAUGAAUGUCAUUUCAAAUGAAAAUGAUAAUUAUUUAUGAAAAAUCCUUAUUCACUUGAAUGUGCUUGUUCAUCGCAAUGGUAAUGGCAUUGAUUCAGGUGGUCAAAUGCGGAACUUGACCCAAGCUAUUUCAGCAAUUUGCUCAAAUUACUGUCUCGAAACUUGAAUUCUUAUGCUCUAUCGACCUUUUGUAACUUUUCCUGAUCUAAAUGAAUGGGUUGGUUUUGCGUGAUAUUAUGUUUUUCUUCUCUAUGCACAUAUUACAAAUCUAGUUCCAAUGGUGUUUUACAGAUACAUAUUACUAGAAAGCUCAUAUGGUUAGUGCCUUUCUUUCAUUGAGUAUUUGAUUGGUCAUCAGGUAUUAAUACAUGAUCUGGUGAUAGGUCAAAGGUUCACUUUUCAAUUUUGGUAUCCUUGUAUAGUUGCAAAUAUUUUUGGUUUCUUGCAAUCUGAACCUCUAUUUUUUUGUUUGCAGCUUGUGAAAUUACUUGAACUGAGGGAGGCUAAUCAUAUUGAGUUCUGCAAAAUCAAAAGCAUGCUUGAUCAAAUACUUCAAAUGCAUAGAAAUUCAGAGCUGAAAGAAGUUCUGAAAUUAUUGAUGGAUCCGACGUGGGUAGCAACUGGACUGAAAAUUGAUUUUGAAACAUUAGUAAGUAUCACUUAUAUACUGGUUUGGGAAGUUCACCCUUACUCAUGCGUUGUGCAUUUCUGGGUUUGCAGACAUAUCAAUCCAUAUGUUGACUUUCAUUGGGUUAUAGAUUUACAUAGAUAGUAUUGUGGCUGAACUGCCGAAAGUUUAUACUGUUUGUUGCCAUUCACUUAGAAUUUGUGAUCUUUCUUAUGGUUUGCAUCUUCUAAAUUCUUCAUAUUCUCCAUGUUCCUAGUGUAAGUUGUCUUGUUCCCUCUUGUAGGUCAGUGAAUGUGAAUUGGUUUCUAGAAGAAUUGGUGAAAUCAUCUCCUUAGAUGGUGAAACUGAUCAAAAGAGCAGCUUUUACCCGAAUAUUCCAAAUGAUUUUUUUGAAGAUAUGGAGUCUUCAUGGAAAGGUCGUGUCAAGAGAAUUCAUUUGGAGGAAGCAUUUAUUGAAGUGGAAAAUGCCGCUGAGGCCUUAUCUUUGGCUGUAAGUUGUGUGAUCCACUUUUCUUGUGAUUGUACCAUACAUAUACUAUCUUGCAUGAUACUCGUGUAUAAGCUCAAAAUAUUUAGUGUUAGGUUUUCACUAAACAAUUGAUUAUUUUUUGGGGGAAUAUUUAAGAGGUUCUUUUGAUAGUAACAUGUAUUGUAGACUGGGGAUAGUUUGUUGCUAUCUGACUUGAGACAUUGGCAUGCCAUAUGUAGCAUAUCAUGGUUCUAGUAUGGAUUAAGAACUAAAAAUCAGUGGUCUUCCUACAAACUGAACACUAGGAGGAAAGAAAUACUCAAGAGAGCGGAGGGCUAAAGAUGAUUGAUGAACCUGUAUUUGUGUGGAGGAAAAACUGUUUAAAUGAUAAUUUUCUUUUAGAAAAUGAGGCGAAGAAAAAGGAUAAGAUGCUUCUCGCAUGUGUUUGUCUGAAUAGAGAAUGCCAAAAGAUGUCAAGUGUUUGGUAGGCGUAAUAGGUUGCAUCAGUAACUAAAUUUUCUUGGAAAAUUCUACAAAUUUUGCAGAACAUUAGAUAUAGGGAACUUAUUUUCCUACAAUCCAUCAGGUAACCACGUUCAUUUUAGUUUUUAAUCAAAUACAAACAUUCAAUCUCAGCUAAUACAUGUCAGAGACUCAGAAAGCAUGCACAAAUAUUUGAAAUUGUUGUCCAACCAGGUUGCAGAAGCCUUUGAUCCUAUCCUUUCAAGAAUAAAAGCUACAACAGCUCCACUUGGUGGACCAAAGGGAGAGAUAUUGUAUGCUCGAGAGCAUGAAUCUAUCUGGUUUAAGGGGAAACGUUUUGUACCAACAGUUUGGGCUGGUACCCCUGGGGAAGAACAAAUUAAACAGCUUAAACCUGCUCUUGACUCGAAAGGUAAAAAGGUUGGAGAAGAAUGGUUCACCACUCUGAAGGUGGAGGAGGCAUUGGUCAGGUGAUUUUUUUUUUCGUUUUUUCCCCACAUAAUAAUUUAGAUGGUUAAUCUUUCUUGGUUAAUGUCUUUCAUCUCUGACUGGAAGUUUUUUGCUUUGUACUUCAGGUACCAUGAUGCAGGAGCAAAGGCAAAGGCAAAGGUCUUGGAUUUGUUGAGGGGGCUUUCUUCAGAGCUUCAAACGAAGAUCAAUAUCCUUGUUUUUGCUUCCAUGUUGCUCGUGAUUUCAAAGGCAUUAUUUUCUCAUGUUAGGUUGGAAAUUAAAACUUGGGCAAUUUAUGGAACAUAAAUGUUUUCCCUUCAUUGUCACAUGUCAUGGAAGCCCUUUCUUUACUCGUGAUAUUUAACAAUGAGAAUUAAGCUUGCAUUGGUUACUUUAUAUAGAAUCUAGCCCAUGCAGGAAAAGAUAAAUUUUUUAGAAUUGACUGCAGACUGGAAGUAUGAAGUUUUCUAGGACAUGUUGACCGAUUUGAAACUAGUGCAUUAUUCCACAGAAUAUUUUGCAUUUUCUUUGGAAAAGAGAGAAACUAUGGAGCUUUUGAAAGAAAACUGUGAUACAGGUUGUGUUUCAUGGUCUGAUUUUACAACCACUCUCUUGCUAUUGAUGAACAAGUGUUACUUUUAUGUUGAAGUUUUAGGAAAUUAAGCAAAAGCAUUACUCAUAGCACUUAUACUUCUCUUGGUGUUUUCAAACUCCCAGUGAGAAGGUUUUGAGUGUUCAGAAAUUAAUUUCGCAUCUGAGAUUUUGUAUUUUAGUAGUAUUUAUUCAACAUUGGACAUAGAAUCAAUUUUAUCAUAAUUGUUUGGGAUAAUUGCGUUCCUGUGUUUAGUUAGUCUUUGACAAUUUGCUUUUGCCUGUGACCCACGUAUCUGUUAGGUGAAAUAUGUAAAUCUAUCUUUGUGCAUUCUAUUUCGAUAGAAGCAUGUGUACACAUAAGAAAAUGUACACAAAUGUGAAAAUAGGAGAGAGAAGUGAUUAUCCCUUAUGUGUUACACAGUUUUCAUGGCUUUGGUUUUGGUCCUGUUAUUCCUAGUAAUUGUAUCCUUAGUCACUUAGCAGCUUUAGACGGGUGGAACUUUAUCUGGGCAUUGAAUUUUAAUCAUAAUUCAUGUACCAAAAUCUGAUUUCAAAAAUACAAAGUACAUUUCUCAAUAAUGUAUUAUUCAUAUGGACUUAGUGGACCUUUGUAAAAUGCUGCUAACCACCUAUCUAGUUUCUUCUUACUUCUAUUUGUGUUAAUUGAUUUGUCUGGUGCAUUCAUUGUGGAUAUGACUGGAUUGUAAGUUUACUCCCUUUUCUACUUAGUUAAAUCUGCAUUCAAGUUCUUAACAUACAUUUUUUUUCUCUCUCAGUGAGGGGCGGAGAAGGAAAUGGGUCUUUCCUACUCUCACAAAAUCUUGGGGUACAGAGGUAGAUUAAAACAUCAGAUUUGUUAGUUUAGUUUUCACUUGUGCCUGCAUAGAUGUCUAUUUAAGUAUGAAAUAUGUUGAUCAAUGCAUUCGGUUUCAUUUUAUUGUAAUUGACAGAUCCAUCACAAGGAUCUUCUUGCUGCUUUUCUUUACCAUCUGAGAGAUGCUUAGAUUCUAGGGAAAAGCCUCAGAAACUGGGUUCAAAAACGUAAUUGGUGCUGCCCCCAAAAUUGUCUGAUUUUCAAUCCAUCUCCCUGGAACUUUUCGCUAAUUUGUGGUACUUUUGAACAGAUCAAUUUACAGUCUGUGCUGUCUAUGAUUUGGUGGUUAUGACUAGUUUGUCAUUUUAGAUUCUCCAUCUGGAAUGUUGAGGAACCCUUUUCUAUAUUUGGUUGAAUGCAUGUGUAUGGAUGUGUAGCCCACAUUCUCCCAGGGUUGGAGGCACACCUUAUCUAUUUACCAUUUGAGCAUUAUGAACUCUAUUUUGGUAAGAUAUGAGAUAAUGACACCUGCUUGACUGCUGUUUUACUUGGUUAUGCCUUCUUGUUUCAGAAUUUGAGCCAUUAGAAGCAUUGUGAAAAGUAUUUUCCUAUUGUCUCCUUGGAAACUUAUUCUUUAUUUCAACUAGAAAUUUGACCUUUCUGAAUUUACUUGUUAAAGGACUUAUUUUACUUAAGGGAAAAUGAUUUAAUUUUAUAACAUGAUUUAAUAUUACACUGGCGAGUGUAAUUAUCUUGUCAUAUUAUUUGCAUUUUUUCAUAAUUCUAAUUGGAAUCUACUUUAUGCACUUCAAUGAAGGAUGGAGAGCCAUCAGAGGGAAAUCAUCAGAUGAAGAUAACUGGUCUAUCGCCAUAUUGGUUUGAUGCUGCAGGAGGAAGGGCUGUUGAUAAUACGGUUGAUAUGCAAUCAUUGUUCCUUUUGACAGGGCCAAAUGGUGGUGGUAAAUCAAGUUUAUUGCGCUCAAUUUGUGCUGCUGCAUUGCUUGGAAUAUGUGGUUUCAUGGUACCUGCAGAAUCAGCUGUUAUUCCCCAUUUUGACUCCGUCACUCUUCACAUGAAAUCUUAUGAUAGCCCUGCUGAUGGAAAGAGUUCAUUUCAGGUACAUCAUAGUGUCUAUCUUCGAUACCAUCAUUGGUGAUUUUUUUUUCUUUUUUUUUUUUGGAUUUAUUAAAGAAUGUUUAGCUUACGUGUAUUUCUCUGAUAUGUUACUGCUGACUAUUACGGAAAUGGACACAGCAGGGGUGGAUAGUCCUUUUAUGCUUUAGACGGGUUUAGGAGCACAGCAAGCAAUUGCUUUUUUAUGGAGCCAAUUAAAUGCUAUUUUGUAUGCCUGCUUAUAACAUACACUGAAUGAGGUAAUUGGUCUACUGAUAAUAUUGAUUCAUUUUCCAUCGAUGUAUCAGAUUGAAAUGUCUGAGAUUCGUUCUAUUGUUUCUGGAGCUACUUCAAAAAGUCUGGUCCUCAUAGAUGAAAUAUGUCGAGGUACGGAAACUGCAAAAGGAACGUGUAUUGCUGGUAGUGUUGUGGAAACACUUGAUGCAAUUGGUUGUCUGGGUGUUGUAUCCACCCACUUGCAUGGGAUCUUUGAUUUACCAUUGAACACAAAGAAUAUUGCAUUCAAAGCAAUGGGAUCAGAGUCUGUUGAUGGUCAAACGAUCCCAACAUGGAAAUUGACUGAUGGAAUCUGCAAAGAGAGCCUUGCAUUUGAAACAGCUCAAAGAGAGGGAAUUCCUGAAUCAAUGAUAAGAAGAGCUAAAGAGUUGUACUUUUCUGCAUAUGCAAAGGAUACAAGUGUAAAAGGUUAUACGCCCAGCAUAAAUAUAGUUGCUUCUGAGACAAAGGACAAUCACUUUGGUAAAGCUGCUGAUCAGCAACUUUAUGUUGGAAAAAGAGACAUUCCUUCAAAAACCGAGUCGUGGAAUCCAAUGGAAAUCUUGUGGAAAGAUGUAGAAAAUGCUGUAUCGACUAUCUGUUCAAAAAAUGGGGUUGAGCUAUACAAAAAGAAAAAUGCAUUUGAGCUUCCUUUCCUGAACUGUGUUCUGAUUGGUGCAAAGGAGCAGCCACCCCCAUCCACGAUAGGUGCCUCAAGUGUCUAUAUAAUGUUUAGACCAGACAAGAAACUCUAUGUUGGACAGGUAGUGAUCUAAAUUCUUCCUGAUUGCAACCCCUGGAAUCCAUCUCCUCUUCCUGCGGUCAAGUCUUGCAAGUCAUUAGAUUCUAUGCUAGCCCCCCCACCCCCCCUCCCUUUUUCCAAAGUAGAUCAAUUAAUUUUAUCGAACUAGUUGCCUAACAAUAGAGUUGCAUCUCAUUGCUGAAUUUGAAUUUGAAUUUCCAAGAGCGAAUCCUUUUGGGAUGUUAAUGAGUUGCACAUAUUACCUUCAAGGUGUUGAGUCACGAUUGAUCCUGUGGCAAAUGAAAACACUUCCUUUACAUGAACAGGGCCCUAUUCGUGAUGCAAUUGGUUAUUUAGUUGUUUUCAGGUUAACGAGUCUUGAAUCUUUUCUGAUAUUUGAUUCUGGACAAGCUCUAACUUCUCUUUCUGCUCUACCAUUAUGUACAGACUGAUGAUCUUGAGGGCCGAAUCCGUGCUCACCGCUUGAAGGAGGGAAUGCAGGAUGCUUCAUUCUUGUACUUUUUAGUCGCGGGAAAGAGCAUUGCUUGCCAACUUGAAACCCUCCUCAUUAAUCAGCUCCCAGAUCGAGGAUUUCCACUCACUAAUGUUGCUGAUGGAAAGCAUAGAAACUUUGGCACUUCUCCUCAUUCGUUGGAAAGUGUUGCCGUGCUAAGAUGAAUCUAGAUUCCCUAACAUCGUAGAGCAAGCCAGUGUACAGGAAGAAUGUAUAUUCAUUGUAAUCCAAAACUAGAGAACUUGGUAAUCUGAGAUGAUUGCUUAAGGUGGCUGCAGCAAUUUUGAGUCUGUGGGAGUUGCAUGAUGCUUUUUUGCUGUCCAUAUGCAGGAUGCUUUUUUAAUGCCGAAUGAAUUAUGCAAAGGUGGAUUGCAUUACUUCACCACAUUUUUGUAUGCAGUUCCUCACUCCCCUUUCCAUUGGGGCUUGUUCAAAAGUGAGCUUAUCAUUCGUGUUAUUCGGACAUUCUGCUACGAUUGUCUGCUAAUGCAACUCAUGUAUUUGAAAGUCCAGCUAAUAAUUUCAAUGCAAUUAAUCAAAUGAGUAACCCUAUCUUGUAAAAAGUGAAGGAUUAUACGUCAACUGUUUAUAGGAUUAUCGUAAUAGUCGAAUCACGGUCAUGAUUUUCUGUUUAGAUCCUUUGAUGCAAAAUAAAAUCUGUUAGAUCUGGAUAUAAAUCGGGAUGUUGAUAUGUAACUAUUCAUAAGUUUUUUGACAUAAAUUAGGAUAUUGAUACGUAACAGUUCAUAAGUUUUUUGACGUAUAAUUUUUAAGUAGAAUAAUUGAUAAGUUAUGUAAUGUAAAUAAUAUCUAAAAAGUGAUGGAAUAUAAGGAGAAAAUGAAAUAUAAUUUUAGUUUAGGAAGCAAGGCACAAAAUAUGGGAUAAUGUUCAAUUUCAACAGUUUAUUUACAACCUAAAGUAAAGGGAAAAAGAAAAGAACAAGAACAUGAAAAUUUUGGUAAAAGAGAGACUGAGAGAUAGAGAAGAGUAAAAGGGAAAACUUAAACGUGGUCGGCAGGAUUCGAACCUGCGCGGGCAGAGCCCACAUGAUUUCUAGUCAUGCCCGAUAACCACUCCGGCACGACCACGGGACGUGCUAUGAUGCGGUCAGAUUAAACAUUUUAGAAAAAAAAAAGAACCCCGGAACAGGGAACAUGAACUAAUUUCCCUCUUUUAUCUGUCCAGUGCCACUACUGGCUGCAGACUGUUCAGUCCUCAAUCUUUCUGAUAUGGGGCUUGUUUAAUUCUAGUAAGAAAACAUAUAUAUUCACAACUUUCUAGUAAAUUUGUGCCUUUUCAUCUCUUUAAUAGCUCAAGUAAUAAACUUUAGGUCUUUUUCAUCAUUUUCUUGAUAAUAUUUUCCGCAAAGUUCCAAUCUUUUUUGCUCAUAGGCAUUCUACUUACUCCUAUGCAGGUAUAAUUUUGGCGUUGCUUGAAUUUCAGAGUGGAUUGAAUUAGUUUGUACCAUGGCUUUAACAUUUUUCAGAGGGAUAAAAACCUGCCCCUUGGUCCACUAUCCAUCAGCAUAUUUUGCAAGGAAAAAUGGGUUUUUUUACUGCACUAUGGGAAGCACGGAAACCCAAUUUGCCACACAAGAAAAGCAGCAAUCUGGUGAUUCAAAAGUUGUACCAAAAACCUACAGAAAAUCACCUGAUAAGUUGUUGAAAGACUACGAGGCAAUCAUAGGGAUAGAGACUCAUGUGCAGCUUAACACUUCAACUAAGGCAUUUUGUGGCUGCCCUUAUAGUUAUGGGGCUCAACCCAAUACUAGCAUUUGCCCUGUUUGUAUGGGGCUGCCUGGGGCAUUGCCAGUUUUGAACUCCAAGGUUGUAGAAUAUGCAGUGAAAUUAGGCCUUGCCCUUAACUGUAAACUGUCUAUGGAUUCGAAAUUUGAUAGGAAACAGUAUUUUUAUCCUGACCUGCCAAAAGCGUACCAGAUAUCUCAGUUUGAUGUUCCAAUUGCAAUUGGUGGUUAUAUUGAUAUUGAUCUUCCUGUUGAGUUUGGUGGUGGGCACAGAAAGUUCGGGAUUACCAGGGUUCACAUGGAAGAGGAUGCGGGGAAGUUGCUUCAUACUGGCACUGGGAAUUAUUCUCAGGCAAUUAUUUGAUCAUAUCUAUUGGACUGAUUCGGUAUUGGAGACUAUAACACCGUCAAGCCAUCUAUUAAAUUGGUUUGAUGAGCCAUUUUCUACUGAGAUAAUUUUAGCUUUGUGUCUGUUAUUAAUCUUGUUGCAUUGCAUAUUUGCAUUUGUUUGACUGGGCUUGUCAUUUUGCUUUUAGUGUAUUAGUGUGUAGGUGGUAGUUUUCAUGUUACAAAUUUGAACACUGGCAUUGAAUGAGAAUCGUGCUUCUUUUAUGAAAGCUUGCUUGUAACAAGGAUUUGUGUUUUCUAGUGCAGGUAGAUUUGAACAGGGCAGGGGUGCCAUUGCUUGAGAUUGUUUCAGAACCUGAUAUGAGAACUGGUAUUGAAGCCGCAGAAUAUGCUGCAGAAUUGCAGAGGGUAGUUAGAUACUUGGGAGUAAGUAAUGGUAAUAUGCAAGAAGGAUCACUGCGUUGUGAUGUCAAUAUCUCAAUCCGUCCAAUUGGGCAGCAAGAAUUUGGUACAAAGGUAAACAGGUGCUAAUCUUUUGUCAUUUUAUUAAACAAUUAUGAGAGAUAAGACAUAGGCCCUUUUCUCACCUCAUACCUUGUGAACUUUCUUGCUGUUAUUCACUUUGACUAUUUUCUCCAAGACCAGAGCAGUUCAGGUAUAGCAAUAUACCUAAAGUGGAGAUCUUAUCAAACGAGUAUUGGAUACUGUCAAAUGGAGUUUUUCCCCCUUUUUUUAUAAGCUCUUAGCAAAUUGCCUCGAGAAGUUUCAUCUUCUAAAAGCUUGUUCUCCAAAUGUUUGUCUUACGAUUGAUCAUUCUUCUGCAUGAGGGAAGAUGCUUCGAAUAGAUUUCAGUCCAGCCAAUGUAUAAGAUUCCUGUUAACUUCUUGUCUAUAUACUGUGAAGCUGCUCCAAGUAAGCGAAUAGGGUGUAAUGCUUUAUGCUUUGGUUCAAAGAACUGAUUGCUUCUGCGACCUCACCAGUCUACACUUACAUCAACAGGUUGAAAUAAAAAAUCUGAACUCAUUCUCAUCAGUUAGUAGAGCCAUCGAUUUUGAGAUUUCAAGACAAGUGCAACUUCACAGUCAAGGUCAGGCUGAUCAAAUUGUCCAGGAAACUCGCCUUUGGGAAGAAGGCGCUCAGGUUACGUAUUUAAUUAUUGCAAAACUAGUUCUAUGGAAGUCUUGUUGUCCACUGAUAUGUUCUAACUUUUUUUUUUUUAACUACUUCUAGAAAACCAUUACAAUGAGAAAAAAGGAAGGACUUUCCGACUAUCGGUACUUCCCAGAGCCUGAUAUUCCCGGAGUUACCCUUAGUGAGGAAUAUGUUGAUGGUAUUCGGAGUUCUUUACCUGAGCUUCCAGAAAUAAAACGUCGGAGGUAUGAGAAUAUGGGUCUCAGCAUGCAGGAUGUUCUGUUCCUGGCCAAUGACAUAAAUGUAAGUUCUGCUUGUCGUUUUUUUUUUUAUAUAUUAUUUGUUGGUCGUUUAGCUAACGGGAAAUCUAAUUAUACAUCCUUUUAUGGAAGUUGAGGCUGAAGCAUCUUCUUUUCUUCUUCAUCUUCGUUCCCUUCUCAAAUCUAAAUUCAGAGCUAAGCCUACUUUGAUAUGUAUUGAGCAAUCAAGAUGUAGAUUUCAUCCACAGUUCCUUGUAUGGAUGAAUGAAAAUGAAGCUAAAUUCAUGUUCAUGAUUAAUCAUUAAUGCUACCCUUGGCAUACCCUCCUUCAACAAUAUCACAAGUUUGGAUUAUCUAAGCCUUUUUUUUGUUUCGUAAAUUGCUUUUUCAAGGUUGCAGAAUUUUUUGAUGCAACAAUAGCAAAUGCGGCUGAUGUUAAGUUGGCCGCAAAUUGGAUAAUGGGCGACAUAGCUGCAUACAUGAAAAAUGAAAAGUUGUCCAUCAGUGAGAUCAAACUUACUCCUCUGGAGUUGGGUGAGCUUAUUGCUUCAAUUAAAGGUGGAACUAUCAGCGGAAAGAUUGGCAAAGAGGUAAAAUUAUUCAUAAUUGGCAUUAGUUGGACAUAUCUUCCUUUCUAUGUAUUGGUUGUGGCUAUCUGUUGGGAUGUGUUAGUUAUAUAUCUAGAAGUGGGAGUUCUGAAACCUAAAACCUCCUACUUACAAUCUCUCCCUCCUUACCACCCAACCCAACACCUCCCCCCCCCCCCCAACAAAACCCCAAAACAAAAAAAAAAAAAAAGUUUUCUUCUUUAAAUGAUAUCUAAAUUGGAACAUUCAACCCUUUUGUCUUUUGUAACCAUUAAAUAGCAAAAGUUCUGAUAAGAGUUUUAAAACUUCGUUUAGCUUAUUGGGGUGGUUUCAUAUGUUCUUCAGCGGCCUACUUCUUCUCCCUUUCUCCUGUUGCUCUUCCCCUUUAUAAGUAGCUAUCUUAGGACCCAUGAUUGAUGCACUUACAGAGGCCUACAUAUGACCAACAAUCUAAUUCAGCCAUGCAUUAAGAAAUAGCCUAAAGCAAUGCUGGAAAAACCAAACACCUCAAUGAGGGGUGGGAAGAUUUGCAUGUCAUACUGACUCGACCUUCUUCUUGUUAUUUUUGUUGUCAUGAUUCAGCUAUUUCAAUUAAGUUUCUAUCAUAAAAUUGCAGAUAUUAUUUGAACUAAUGGCUAAGGGCGGGACAGUGCAAGGAUUAAUAAAAGAAAAGGAUUUGGUUCAGGCAAGUCAGUUUACAUUACUUUUCAUGCUUCACUAUAGUUAACUUCCUUAGCACAGAGUAAGAGCUUCCAUUUUCAUGCUCCGUAACACUGGAGUCAAAGCACUGUUCCAUUUCAUACACUUGCCCGUUAGAGAUUUGAUUCUCUAACUUUUUUGAGAUUAUUGGAUGUCGUGUGACUAUAGGUAGUAUUAUAAUAAAACAUAGUGAUUUUUUCAUGUUUCUGGACAUAACUGCAGACAUCUUUGUUAUUGUUUAUGCUCUUUCACAUCUAAGUUAGUACAUUCAUAAUACAUGCUUGGGAAUGGAUUGGGAAAAUCCCCACUCCGAGGCGAGUUGUGGAAGGUGUUUGGAUGUCCAAGCAAAAAACAAUUACUAUGAGGUUUGGAUUUGGAAUGGGUGGGUGUGUAGCCCCUCUCUUUCAAUAAAUAAGCUGAAUAAGGAACUUCUGCAAUCCAAACAAGGCACAAUAACAAACUAGCAAAAAACAGAGUGACAUACUAGUUGGCAUGGCAUGAUCAGAGGUCCAUCUCACGUCACACUAUAAUUGGACUGCAAAAGUACCACCAAAUUAUGACACAACAUAAAACAGGCAAAUGUGGCAUUCUGACAGACGUGUAGGUAAGGCUUAUAUGGGAAAUUCGGUAAAUUUUCCCUACCUAAACAAAAUGUUUGACAAGACAGAGAAUAUAAGAGAACCAAAUUGACUGGAAAAGGAUGUAAGCAUUCACAUUUGGAAUUAAGUUAAAGGGGACCAACCAGAGUUUUCAACAAUUAGGAACAUUUAGUUGCUUGAGAGCCUUGUCACUUUUUCAGCACUAGACCAUUUAUUUCUUCUGUAUCAACAUACCCAGAAAUAGGACAUAGCACUUUCCACCAAUUUCUGCAAACAAAUUGGCAUCCUAAAUUAACAAAGAUAACAAAGAAAAUAAUUUAAGAGAUUACAUCAGUGAACCUAAAUUGCAGUACAGUGACACAGAGCCCCUAAAUUUCGUUUAUGUCUUGGUGCCUUUUCCGCAACAUGUUUUAGUGACUUCAUUGUAUUCCUCAAAAGGUGAGCUAUACUAUUCUGGCACGGCACAGAAUUCCAGGUAGAGUGCACUUUUUCAUGUUUAAUCGAGUUGAGCUUAAUAAUAUUUGAUCCAAACUUCCUAGAAUCAACACAUUAGUUGGAGUAAAAAUGCUGCAGAUAUGAGCUGUGAGUAUGACUGCAUUUGAACCAGAUUGUAGAUGGCAGUGAGAUAGUGAAUAUGGGCAUAGAAGAUGUAGUUCUUUGGUGUAGAAGGAUGGGUUUAAGAGCCUAGAAUUGAUUAAUACUUGGGUAUACAAGAUGCUUUGAUGAACUUGCCUCAGUCUUUAAGAUUGCUAUAUCAACUUGAUGUUCUAUUUACCUUGUUUUGUAAGCCAGAUUGUAGACCGCAGUGAGAUAGAAAAAAUGGUGGAUAAAGUCCUCGCUGAUAAUCCAGAGCAGCUGAAACAGUACCGUGGUGGCAAAACCAAGCUACAGGGCUAUUUUGCGGGCCAGGUAUUCCUGCAGAAUGUAGUUGUUUCUUUCAUUUUAAUGAUUUUAUGUACUUGUGCAGUGCUUUUUUUACAUCACCAUCCAAAUGUUCAGGUAAUGAAAGCAUCAAAAGGCAAGGCAAAUCCAAAACUUUUGAACCAGAUACUUUUAGAAAAGUUGAAUACCGAAACUUGAUGCUCUCUAUCAGAUGGUUUCUCAUGGCCAAUGCAGCUACAAACAUAUCCAUCCCUCCAAUUUCACUUCCUCAUCCUGUUAUGUAGUUUCCAAUGCACGUGAUUGGACGACCACAGACAAACGUGCUCCUUGAAACGAAUGUGACUCGAUAAGGGUGUUUUAAUUGCGAAUUGGAGGAUGAAAGCUUGAUAUAUUCCAAAGAGAUUUCUUUUUAGUAAUGCUUCAUGUAUCUGCUGUUGGCUACAAGUCAAACUAAUGUGUUAAACGGCACAAGAAGGAUGAAAUUGUCAUCCCGGAGGAAGAGACUGCACAGUAGCCGGAUUAUUUCAGUUUUAUUAUUGACUUCUUUUUUACAUGACUGAAUCUUGUUCAAUAUUUGAUACAACAUUUGUCACUCUGCAUCUGUAAGUAAACUGCUUCGACAAAAAGCUGUUGUUCUUUGGAUGGAUGCAGUCACAAGCCUGUAAAUUUACUCUAAAUUCAAAGAUUCAGUUCUGCAUAAACCUCAGGAUUUGAUUUCUUGUGGAGCAUGUAUAUUAUUGAGGUUGCCUUUGAAUAUCCCCUGAGGCUACCUCUCCCAAAAGGCAAUUCCAUCGCACUACGGUGCACCUAAUAAAAUUAUUCUAAUAGAAAAUCAUAUUUUUGUUGUCAUUUUUUGCCAUUUGAUUUAUGGAGAAUUUUUUCUUUUUUUUUUUUUAAUUUUAACAUUUUAGUUAUUCAAAUAGAAGUUCCCUAGAUAUAAAUGUGACAUGUUUUUGAUAAAUUUAAGAUCUUUCUGUUUUAUUUAAUUUACUACAAGACUGUGUUAAAACAGUUUUUUUAAGAUAUAGAUAUUUCUUUGUUUCUAUUUUCGAUAGUUGUUGAUAUUGUAAGUACUAGGGGAAAAAGCCCGUGCCAUGCGCGGGAGUUUAGUACCUAUAAUUUAAAAUAGUUAAUAAUUAUUAUUUAGUAUUUUGUAGUAUAAGAAUUGAAGUAUGGCAAUUUUAUUAUGUGAUAUUAAAUAGAAAAAUCAUAAAUUACAUAUUGAGUAAAAAAUAUAAUAUGCACUGAAACAUAAUUAUAAAACACAAUUAACCACUUUGUGUCUAAUCUAAUUGAAUAAAAGAUCUACUUAUAUCUGCUCAUGCAUUUUAGGGAUAUUAAAAUUUGUUGUUUAAUUUGAAUUUGAUUUUGAUAUGAGGGCAAUCCACCUUAUUAUCUUGUCAUAUAAGUGAGAUUUGAACAAUUAGCAUACUUGAAGAAAUCAUUGCUAGUGGAAUUUCGGUUUUUGCAAGCCAAAUUCUUUGAUUUAUAUUGAUUUCAAGGGCAUAUCAUCAUGAAACAUCCACAUGACCAAUCAAUCAAUUAUGAUUUAUUGUAUGAUUUAGGACAUAUAGCAAAGCAUCUCCUUCUCAGUAGGGGUUACAAUCACAAAACAUCAGUUUUUGACCUAGUUGCAAAGAUAUACAACAACUAACAUGCUAAUCUAGAUGAAUAUUUACCUCAAAAAAGUAUUAAAACAUCUUAAUCCAUUCAAUUCAAGAAAACAAUUAAAAGUGAAGUACAUACUUUGGAUCUACAGCCAAAUACUUUUAAGUAGAUAGUUAAAUAUAUUGGCAAACCAAAUGGAGUGAAAAAUUGUCUAAAUGGAAUCAUCAAUAAAGUAGCAAACAAUUUGAAAAUUACCGUAACUAAUAGUUAAAACAACAAAAGAAAUAGAUGCAAUCUAUAAAUGAAAAAUUUUAUGAUGAUAAACUUAUUCUAAACCACAAAUAACAAUUAACAAAUGUGAUCUCCUCCCUAUCAAGCCUAUCUAACAUGGGCAAUUGAAUUAAAAUACUAAAAAAAGUAUUGCACAUACAACUUGCAAGAUUACAGAUUUUUUACAAUAAAAAAAGUAGAUUAGCUAAAGAAAACAUACCUAUUGAAAAAGAUGUUGCAAAAUGGGAAAGAGCAGUAACUAAUAUAGCAACAUUUGAAUUCAAUAGACUACAUGAUUGUAGUGGAACAAAGUUAUAAGCAAAUGAAAUAAAUUUGAAUAGAUGGGGGUUACUAUGGUAACGGCCAAGAAACCAAACUUCUCUACUAAUCAGUAUUAAUUGUGUCUUAAUAUCUAUAUAUCAUAAGUUUGCAAAUAACUGAUGAGAAAGGCUUUAAGAAAUUAAGAGACUUGGAUGUUAAUCCAAUUAAAUGAUUAAAAAGAUUUUUAUGUAAUUCCACUAAAACACAAGCUAAAUUCAAUUGUACCCAAUGUUUAAUCGGAUAUCGAAUAUUGCCACAUGUUAAAUUUACCCAUAGCUUUAAAUGUCUGACCAAACAUUUAAGUAAUUAUAAAAAAAUCAAAUUAGCUAUAAUGAUUCAUAUUCAAUACUUCAAUUGCACUUCAAAUACUCUCAUAUUCCCAAAAUAGUCCCACCCUUGCGGUUGAAAUCUUUACCUUAAACUCAUUCUUAUAUAAUAUAAGGAAGAUAAAUUCAAUUGUACCCAAUGUUUAAUCGGAUAUCGAAUAUUGCCACAUGUUAAAUUUACCCAUAGCUUUAAAUGUCUGACCAAACAUUUAAGUAAUUAUAAAAAAAUCAAAUUAGCUAUAAUGAUUCAUAUUCAAUACUUCAAUUGCACUUCAAAUAUUCUCAUAUUCCCAAAAUAGUCCCACCCUUGCGGUUGAAAUCUUUACCUUAAACUCAUUCUUAUAUAGUAUAAGGACUUAUUCUCAUAUUAUUAUUCCAUUUGAAAGUUUUUUAAUUUAUAUAUUGAUGAAUUAAUUUAAAUGUUAAUUUGCUUUUUUUUCUUAUAUUUCACUAGAAUAUCUAUUUGUGUAACAUAUUAAUAUUUUAUUAACGUAACGAAAAAUGUAUACAAGCAUACGUUCAAAAUAGUGCAUCAAACGUCCAUCUACUAUAUAUCUGAACGACUUUCUAAUAACAGAAACUUUCUUCACAUUACCAUUAAAAAAAAAAAAAAAAAAGGUCCACCAACAUAUGAAGAUUUUCUCCACCAACUUUGCCUAUUUCACAUCUCCCAUCUACCAGAAUAUUGAUCAACUCAUUUUCCCAAUAGUUUUAUCUUUUUCUCACUUAUUUAACAUGUUUAGUGCCUAAAACUGAGUAUUUUUAUUCUUACCUAAUAAUAGGGUAAUACUUAAAAAGAGAGUAGUUUGAGACUGUUGGGAAUGAGUGUACAAAAUUAUGUAGUGGGAAAAAAGAAAGAAGCAGUCCUUGAAAAUAUUCAGCUCCCCUGUGACAUGCAUGAAACAAGAUGCAAUGCAGUCAUUCAAGCGGAAAAUGAAGCUACAUUCAUUCUUUGAUUCAACGUUUUUGGACACAGCACCCAACACUUAUUCCUUUUUCAUCAUAAAUUAAUGAUACAUACAACGAUUGCCAGUGCAGAAUGCAGUUGAUUUUGCAGCUUAAUUGUUUUCAUCCACAGCUUGACUGUUUACAAAUAAGCUCUCUCUUCUUUUAGGAAAGCCUGUGCUUUCUGGAUUUGAUCCUCUAUAUUUCAGUUCUUGGUUCGUUCUAAAAUUUGGUUCAACAGCAGAAGAUAUGGAAUUCGUAUCUGUUCCACCACCACGCCUGUAAGAAUUAACCGAUCCUCCAGGGUAUUGGGAAGGAGAGGCAUAUCUUCUUGAUGGGUCUCGCAUACCAUUACCCCUCGAAUCAACCACAUCAGCAUUCCUCGAAGAAUCAGUGAAUGAUCUAUCGCCUGAGCCAGAUCCCAAUGGAGCACCGGUUGUCACUGACGUGGAACUGAAAGGAUCAUCUGGCCCCCAAGAGGUAAGAGCUUCCUUCUUGUGGGCAAAGAAAUGCCAUGCUCCAAAAAGGAAAAGAAUAAAAAACAGAACAGGACUCGUCCAUUGCAUCGUAUUGAACUCGCUUCUGAAAACUGGAAGGUUGGAAUGAUACAUCGCCACAUAGCCGCUUCCAAGACUGAGAACAACUAGUCUUUCAUUGUUACUUGCUACUACUGGUCUCACAAACCCUUUUUUGUCAUCUAUUUUUCUUUGCUGUUGGUUCAGAAAUGAUGCUACAAUCCCAUCAAAGCUUGCAGAGAACAGAAGUUUUGGUCCGCCAGCCCUAACAUAAUGCUGGGAAGACACAUUAUACACAUAGAUCUUCUCCGCAUCACCAAUAAGCAAGUACCCUUUGAUUGCUUGAAAUGUUAGAGGCUCUCCCAUAUCAAACUUCCUCUUGGAUCUAACCCUACAUUUGAAGUUCAUUAUGUCACCGAGCAACAGUACAUGUAUCAGAUCACCUUCUGAAGUAAAACCGUAUGCUUUUGACCUCUCUGUGGCAUCAAAAACAUAGCGUCUCACCACAGAAACGUUCAAACCUUCACAGAAAGAUUCUCUAAUCUUCAUGGUCCUUAAAUCUAAUGACCCAGCACCAGUUUCUGUCAAAAAGAGAAGUCUCUGCUUCAAGAAUGCCAGUGGCCUCCUUGAUGGUGAAGCCAAGCCGUAAACUGUCCCAUUAUCCCUGAACACCCUGAUCUUGCCCCUCAAAUCUGUAGACAAAAUAUACCUCUUCCGCCCAACAUGAUGCACUUCCAAGAUAGUGACUGGUGAAACACUAUCACCAGCUUGAGGAACGUCAAACUUCACAAUAACAUCCAUCCGAAGUGAGUUCCAUUCAUCCCCAGUUGAAUUUUCCCAAACCCGAUGCAUCAAAAUGGCACCAUCCUCGUGCCCUGUGACAACUAUGCUCUCAUUCUUAUAAACCGACAUGUAGGAUACCAUAGCAGUAGUAGGCGAUCUGGACAACGUGUCAAACUGACAUAAAACAUCUCCAUUUCUUGCUAAAGCAUACACUCUACCCGAAUCAUCUCCAACCAGAACAUACUUACUGAACCCCUCAAAAUCCCGGUAUGGCAACACAUUAAUACAAGUGGGAUUUGAUCCAACUUUCACAGCUGACACAAAUUGAAAUUUCUCAGACCAAAAAGGACUAAACUUCGUAACCGACACCACCCCUACACUAUCUCCAUUUUUAACACUACUGUCUAACUUUCCAUCUUGAAUCUUCUCAGCAUUCCCAUCUCCAUCAACCUCACCAUAUUCUUGCACAGUAUCUUGCUUUCUAUCAAUGGGAUAUUUAACUUUUGAGCAAUCUGACAACUUUGAUUCUAAUCUAGAUAACAGUUCAGUGAAACUUUUCACUAGCUCUUCCAUCUUUUCCAGUUGAAUUUCCUGCCGUUUCAGUACAUCUAAAGCAUCACUAACCUCAGGUUUAUGUUCAAUAACAUGCUCAUUUUCAGUAUCAGUUACAAUUUCUGCUGAAUUUGAUUUCGCAAGAACCCGCAUAAUACAACAUAAGUAAAGUAAUAAAAGCAAAUGAAGUGUAAAAAACUUGCCUUUUUGAGAGGUUGCCAUUGAAUAAGAAGCAAGAUUUUUAGCUCAAAGCUCUUUUAUCAUUGCCUGAAGUUUCAGGAGUUUAUGCAGAUCCUAUUGGUUGCUUUAUUCUUUGUGGACGUGAAAGAUAUUUCAGAGCAAGAUUGUACUCGUUUCUUUAUGGGAUUUGGACCUUUUUCCCUUCUCUUUUUUCGGGGUUUUAGGGAAGAUUUUGGGAGUGGAUUUAGGUCAAAAGAUCGAUUUUUAGAUGGUCUUAGGACGUGGUAUCGGGAAGACAACGAAGUAAGCAGAAAAGACGGCAACCUGUAAGAAAAGAGGAAAUGAAACAAACAAUAAUUAGCCAUUGAUGCCCAAAACUUUUUUGAGUAUUUGAUUUUGACCCUUGGGAUGUUUUGGACAACUGUAGAUGCUCUCAUAAACUUUAAUUUUAGUCCGCCGCUUUAAUUUCUUUAUUUCUUCAAACAGGUCAUAUGAAUUUAGUUCUAGACUCAAUUUGCUUUUAAAGUUAAACUUGUCAAAUUGAAGUUAAAGUGUUCUAAAUUAUAGGAGGUAUGGAGAACAAAAAUGGUGCGUAAAGAGAUAUUCCAGUCAUCUCAAUACAUUUUUACAUGAUCCUUGCACAUUAUCUAAUUGAUUUUUUGAUUGUGUAUUUGUACCAAUAUGCUAACAUCAUUGGUUGUUUAAUAGUGAUUCGCCUAAUUCGAUCACUUAACUCUUGAUUCCUCAACUUCUCCCCUUCUCCUAACAAUUCGAAUUAACAAAAUGAACGUUGGAAUGGACAUAUAAUCUAUUGCUGUUUAAAGUUUCAGCAGCGCAAUUAAUUACAUAGAGUAACACUUUACAUAUCUCGAAUAUUGAUACAUCUGUGACCAAUUUGUGACAUACUCAAAAGAUAUAUGCUUAUUUUGCACGUGUAUUCUAAUUUUUGUUAUUGAAUUUGAAGAAGUUGAAUAUGACGUAUUUUAGGCAUAGAAAGAAAAUAAUUUUUUUAAAAAAAAAAAUUUAUUGACGUGUACUGUUGACGCCGCUAUUGGUGGAAAAAAAAAACUCUAGCCGUGAAAGUGUAGAAAAGCACUUUCAUUCGUCCAACAAAGAAUGAUUAACAUGGUACUUUGUCGUCAGCACCACUACCAAAUUUUAUUUUUCUCGUGUAGUCAAUAUAAUUCUUGUAGCAUUUGAAGUCAAAUACCACUACCACAAGGUUUUGUUGUAAUUUGGAUGUUUAGUUAAUGUAAUAUUUGCUUUAAAAUUGUACAGUGCAUUAAAUGUUAUGUGCUAUAUGGUGGACAAGACAUUGGUCAAUGUCUGAGCAAAGCAACAUCAAGAAUUGAGGAAGAGAGACUAAAAAUAGUCAUGGUGCAAAAGCGAUGAUGAGUUGGGAGGUUACAACUACACAGGCAAAUCAAUGGUCCUCCUAAAGCUGAACCCCAAAUUUAGCAAAGAGCCCACGUUGCAUGAAUUUUGUGAAUCACAAGUUGGACAUCAAUUAUCUGUAAAAUGAGGACAGCAUGUGUUACUUUUCUGGCACACAGGAAAGCCUAGAAAAUGACAGCCUCAGAUAUUUCACCAUCUUCUAUAUUCCUUGUAUUUCCUCUGAUUGCAGAAAGAAGGUAGCAGAGUUGUGGCAGGCGCCAUUAAUGGUGGUGGUGACCGGUUGCUAGGCUGUAGACCAUGGCAUGCGGGAGCACACCAGCACGUAAAGUGAUGGUGGUCGCGGAUCCCUGUCGCGAAUCAGCUGCUGCACUUCAAUAUGCCCUCUCCCAUGUAGUGCUUGAAAAUGACACGUUAAUUCUCCUCCAUGUUGAGAAUCCUAAUAGUGCCUGGAGAAUCCCAUUUGGUACAAUCUUCAGAAAAGCACAGUCGCUCCCUGCUUCUGCCGGUGCCGCCUCCAUGUCCUCGUCCUCAUCCUCAUCCUCAGAAGGUUUUGUUGGUGGUGGUGGUGGUGGAGGGACCAUAGAUUUUCUCGAAGCAAUGAAGCAAGCUUGUGGUAUUGCACAGCCUAGGCUAAAAGUUCGUGUACAGAGGGUGGAAAUGGAUGGAAAGGACAAGGCUUCUGUACUUCUUGCACAAAGCAAAAGUCAUGGGGUUGAUGUCAUUGUUAUAGGGCAAAGGACGACUCUCUCCAAUGCAAUAUUAGGGUGAGUUUUCUAUUUUCCCCAUAUACAUCAUCCAUGCAUGUUUAUAAUACGCAUAGGGUAUACUAAAAGAGAUUUUGCACUAGGAUUUACAUUUGUUCCCCUGAGAUGUUGAUGUUAAACUUGCAACAAUUUCUCAGUUGAUCAUCAAAUUGAUCAAAGCAAAAUUAUCUGAAUCUCUUGCUGACCUUAGCUAAUACCCUACGCAGAAUAAAGGCAGAAAGCAAUUUUAAAAAUCGGUGAAACCAGGAGAAAAGUUUAUAUUUACUUGUUCCUGCGUAUAAUCAUUAUGAUAUUUAUUCAACUUCGAUGAAUUCUUCCAGAAAAGAAGUUCCAUCCUCAAUCAGAUUAACUAUGCCAUCCUCUUUUAAGUGUUGUGCUCAUGUUCCUAUCUGCAUUUGUGAGCAGGCCUAAGCGAAGUAGAUCAUUAAGGGGUCUUGAUACGGCGGAGUAUUUGAUCGAGAACAGCAAAUGCACUUGCGUUGGAGUGCAGAGAAAGGCCAAUGGAGGAUAUCUUCUCAACUCAAAAACCCACAAAAACUUCUGGCUACUGGCUUGAGGAUAUGAUAUAUUACUUACUGUAGUUUGUAAAUGAUUCAGAGCCUCUUCCUCUCCACCUGUUUUCCAGUUGAUGUUGUACAAUCGAUUAUUGCUUUUGAGUAUUUUGGUUGAAAUAGAGGUAGAUGAACAUAUACAAUAAGUGCUAAAGUGCAAAGGCUGAUAGCAAAUGCUACUCAAAACAGAGGCAAGCUCAACAGGGUUGUAUUACAUAGCUCACGUAGCAGUAGGCUAGUGACAUGCAUGCUUAUCCAGGUGCUAAAGAAGUGUACUUGGGAAAAAGUCCAUGUGUGUAGUCGAAUAGUCUACAAAUUUUACAACUUAGAAUAGCUCAAUCUAGCUAAAAGUGUAACUAGGGAAAAGUAAGUUACUUGUGUACUGAACUUCUCUAAGUUCUACCCCCAAAAAAAAAAAACUUCUCUAAGCAUAUUUUCAAGAUGUCCUCCAAAGAGCAGGCGAAUCCAAUGUAGAGCUAAAGAUGACACUGAAGAAAUAAAGGAAUAGAAAGAGAAGGACGCAUGAUAAGCUUUUGUAUUACCUAAAGAUACAGAACAAGAAUCAUACAGCAAACCUGUGGGAAAAGGCUUCUGAGAUCCUGUUCAAGGGGGAAAAUAUUGCCUCCUGAUGUCAAAGCAUAGCAAUUCAAUAUGAGGCCAAGCCUCAACCAUACAAGAAAGAAGACCUAUAGAAGAUGUAAAAAAGUUUGGCCAGAAAUUUGAUUG
rnacentral:lncRNA from 1 species